rnacentral:lncRNA from 1 species
GUUAGGUGUGGAGAAGAAGUCUCAGAGCUCUUGGACCGUUCUGAAGAGGCAGGAAUUGAAGAAAUUGUUGAAAUCAUGAGUGGAUUUUCAAGAGAUGGUGAGGAAGCCUCCAACAUCAACAAGCUUCAAGCGAGGAAAGCAGUUAUGAGUAGGAUGUUGGUGAAGAGCCUGCAAGCUGGGGAUGCCGUGUUUGAGAGAAUAUCCCAUGCUGUUUAUUUGGCUGCAAGAGGAGUAGUGCUUGCAGGGAAUGGCCCUCAAGGAAGAAAAUUAGCAGAAAUGGCACUCCGGCGGGUGGGAGCUGUUGAUCUGACUGAUAGAGUGGUGGAAGCUGCUGAAAUAUCGCUGGCAGCAGCCACGGUGUCGGUUAAUGUUCAUGGGCAAUGGUAUACAUAUCUGACUGAUAACAUGUGAUUGGUUUGACAUGAAGAAGAAUGAAGUUAAUUACAAGGUGGAAAGAAGAAAAUAAUGCACACACCUGUACAUAGUAGUGGGUGUACAUUUAUGUUUUAAGUAUGAACACAGGAUGGAGGGUUGUUAAUAUGAAGAAAUAUUUCAUGAAUAGGAGAGGGAUGUUGUAAAUAAUAUUUAUAACUGAAUUGAAUGUUUCUUUUCUAUUCUGAUUAAGCUCCCUUUAUUUUCUGUCCAGACUCCAGAGAAAUAAAGUCUGUCUGUCUGUCUGCAUGUCUGUUAAUAACAUUUGGGAUAUAAAUAAUUGCUUUGAUGUUUCAUACGCUAAGUUUCUCUUUCAUUUUGCUACUUGUGAUAUGACCUAUAACCAAAAGUUCUUAGUUGUUAGAAUGGAUUUGGUUCAGGUAAGGAAGGAUGGAAACAAGCAAAAGCUUGUGUAAUCUCUGUAAAUCAUUGGUAACAUAGUUCUGGAAAAUCCAAUUGAAGUAAUGUUUGACCGCUUUUUUGUGGAUUAGGUACCUUAGAAAUGAGAACUUGCACAGAGGAGUGAAUUUUGUAUUGCAUGAAGAGAGUGAAUAAGCUCAACAUAACACCAUUCUUCAUUCCUUUACAAAAUUAGGAAGUUUAAAUGUGAAUGAAUCAACUUACAGUAUUCUUCAUGAUGUAUGAAUCUUUCUGCGAUAUAAACAAUGAGAACCAAGAUGGAAAUUGGAAUUCCUUCAAUGAACAGCAGCAACUUCCUCACUCCGGUGCUCCCCACCUUCCAUCCCCAACAAUCUUUGUCACGGUUUUUGACAAAUUAAAGCUACAAACACCUUAGCUAUUGAAAAGUAUAAGCCAAAAGAAAACAACCCUGUCACUUUCUGGUUAGCAAUAAGAUAUCAUACAUUUCAACCACAUAGAACCUACAAAAUGAUUUAAGAACACAACUUAUAAUUUGCAGAUUGGAAGGAUAGUCUUCAUGGUUGGAGAACAUACAAGUGGCUGUGAAUGUAUAAUUCUUGAAUAGAGUUGAGAAGUGUAUGAAGAUAUUAGGAGCUAUGUGAUUGUUCGUAUAUCAAGAUGGUCUGUGUCUUUGCUACUGUCUUCCAUGGGGAGAGCCAUGGGGUACUCAUUUCCAAAUGUUCAGUGAGAAAAUCAAAUUGAAAGCCUGCAGUGAAUAUCAAUAAAUUAGCCUAUGGAGAAUUUGAGGCUCAUGAGUAUAUAUCAAGAAGACAAGUCACUUAUUAUACCUGGAGAGCUGCUUGGCACCAUGUCUUAUGACCAUAGGCAACAAGAACGUCAAAGUUAAUUUGUGUAUAAGGACAUUUGAGACUAGAACUGACAAUUCAAUCUUAAUAUUGAAGCACAAGAUGUUGAACAUCAACUUCUGUGAAGGAUUAGAGUUUAGGGCAAGUAGAUAUGCCCUUAAAGGAACAGUUAGAUGUCAAUCACAACUGACCUGAAAUUGGCUAGAUCGAAAUGGUACUUCAAACACAUAUUGAGAGGUGCUUUGACUUCUUCUAUGUCUCUGCCUUACAAGGAAGAGAAUACUUCAAAAAAUCCACAUAAUCAUUGGUAAGUACAAGAAGACCCCAAUAUUCUGUGUCUGUUUUCAACUGCUCUGUUGGAAGAAAAAAAAAAAGGACAAAACCCCUCUAAUUGAAGGAAGGGAGCAAAGUAGCAUAAGAUGCUACUUUCCCAUGCCAGUCUUUUGUAUUAUGAAGCUUUGAACCAUCUCAACCCAAAGGAUAUCCAUCAAUCUAAUAGUUCAUCAUGAUUUGCAAAACACAGGUUUGCAUGCAACAAUGACACUAAACAAUAAAGAUUGAUGCUAGUUUAGCUUAUUAGAGAACAAAGGACUACUGAGUCAGACAUCUGUUUUCCAUUGGAGAUGGUGCCCUAAUCAAGAAGAUUAAAGGGUGAUUGGAGUUGGAAGUGUCAUAAUCACCUGAAAGAAAACAAUUGCAAAGACAUGGACAGAUGCACGUAAAAUGUAUGUAUCCAUUAACAAAUGGUUAAUUGAGAGGAAGACAUCAUUUUUGAAACCAAAAGGAUUUCAGGUUUCUUAGCUUUGGUAGUAACACACCCAAGAUCUCCUUGUUUAAUACAAAUCAUCUUCCUAGAACUAAAACAGCAGCAUCCUCAGACGCCUUUGCAGAAGCUCUCAGCACCAGUUAAUGAAGGUGACUCAUGAGGGAUGGUCAAAGGGCUGGCUGAGAUAUCUGAAACAGAAGACAUGUUUAUUAUCUGUCUGUGUACAAUGGGAAUUCCUUGUAUUCAGGAUGUCAAAAUCUUUCUAAACAUCCGACUCUGCAGAUACAAACAAUGGGAAUUCCUCCAAUGAGAAGCACAGGAACAUUGUCAAUUCUAAGAAAAGGAUCCUGUUUCUGAAUAGGAUACAUGACAGUGAUCUAAGUAAUCAUCCCAACAGCAACAUGAGACAGAAGACCUAAUAAAAACCAAAACAAGAACAAAAUGACAUCAAAAUUAGGAAAGAAAUAAAUGCAGCAAAAUCAUAACAAAGAUGCUAUAUUCCUGUAUCCUUGCCUUAGGAAUGUAACUAAUUGGUGAUCUCUCCCUUUAUGCAAGCAGAAGCACAGGAAACACCAUCUCUGGUAAAAUGCUGACUGCCAAACCAAAAUAGAGCAACCUCAGCCAAACAUGACCUGACUUGACCAAUUCAGUACUAGAAACAUAGAAGCCAUUGUAGUAGUGUACUUGUCAUCUCUCUGUUUAAUAUCAGUUAAGUUUUCAGGCACUGAAAGAGCAGAACCUUCCUCACUCCACCUUCCAUCCCCAGCAACCUUUGAAAUAAUUUUGUUACAAAUUAAAACAACAAAUGCCUUAUUUAUUGAAAAGCAUAAGCCCAAAGAAAACAUACCUGUUUCUUUCUGGUUAGGUAUAAGAUACCACACAUUUCAACCUCAUACAACCUACAGAAUGAUGUAAGAGCAACUUGUAAUUUGCAGAUUAUGAAGAGGGUCUCCUCUGUUUUACCAUCAGAAAAUGGACCAAAGCAAUCAAAAUAUUUCUGUAACCAUAAAUUAGCCAAAAAAAUGUGCCCAUGUAUGCUUAUGUAAGAGAAAAUUAGAAAUCAGCCUUGCCAAUUGGAAAGGUAACUUACUUGAUUCAUGGAGAGUAUACAAGUGACUUUGUUUAGUAUGAGCUACCUGGAUUCAAAUAUUUCUUCACUCUUGAUAUCUUUGUUCCUGAUUUGUAGCUUAAUAAGAAAAAUGAAAAAAUAAGAAUCUUAAACCAAACAAACAGAGCAUAAAAUUGACUUUUGUUAAUGUGUAAUUCUUGAAUAGAGUCAAGAAGUGUAUAAAGAUUCUUAUGAUUGUCCAUGAGUAGAACUAUUAUGAUUGUCCAAGGGGAGUUGAACUUGGGUGUUGAAAAUUACCAAUGAAAGAGUCGAGGGCAUGUAUCUUGGCUGUUGUCUUUCAUGGGGAGUCAUUGAAGAAAGAUCAUUGCCAAAUGUCUAGUGAGAAAAUCAUAUGGAAAGCCUACAGUAAAUGUCGAUAAAUUAGUCCAUGGAACAGAAAUAGAGGCUCAUGAGUUUAUUUAAUAAAACAAUUCCCUUAUUAUACCUCAAGAACUGAUUGGCACAAUGUGUUAUGACAAUAGGCAACAACAUCUUAAAAGUUUGUGUAUUAGGAGACUUGAUACUAGAACCACAAAUCCAAUCUUAAUAUCUUGCAGCACAAGAUGUUGAAGAUCCACUUCUAUCAAGGAUGGAGCUCAGGACAAGUAGACGUCACACACAACUGAACUGAACUUGGCAAGAUUGACAGUUCCCAACGACCAGAGCUUAGAGGUGCUUUGACUUCUUUCUUCUGCAAGUACAAGAAGACCUCAAUAUGCCGUAUCAUGACGAUGUAAGAGUGAAGGAAGGGGGUAAAGUAGAAGACAAGUGGCAUCAAGUCAAAAGAUGAGAUUUUGAGUUUGAGACACUAGGCAAUUCCAUAUCAACACAAAUUGGACUUAAAAUAGUGACCGAAACCAAUUGAAUAAUAGGCUCUUUUGGAGGGAUCCUUUUUCUAAUUUCAUAAAUUCUCAGACUCUAAUUCUAUUUCAAAUAAGUCACAAAUCUAAUUAUUUCUAUUUACUUGAUAUAUUUCUCAUUAUCAAAACAAAAAUAUGUUUCUUAUAAGAAAUCAUUCAUGUUCAUCCUGGUUACUUAAUGUGAGUCGGAGAGGAAAAACGAUGAUUAACUUGAUAUGGAAGGGAGAAAAGAUACAGUAUCUUGAUUCUAAUUCAACUCCUGUGAAAAGAUAACUUGCAAAAGGAUCAAAAUAAGUAUUCAUAUAAUUCAAAAUUGUUUACAUGCAAUAGUUAGACGUAGAGCCUAUUUGUGAUGCAAGUAAAAUUGCAAGCACAUUUCAUCAUAGACAUGGAUAGGCAAUACCUAAGGUAUUAGAAGAUGUACGAGUGUUUAAAUCAUCGGUAUUCCACAGAAAAUACAUAAACUUGCAAAACCUUUUUAGUCAUUCAUGUAAUUUAGAGGCCCAAUAAGGUUAAUAAAGUCAUCAAAUUAAACCUUUGGUAAUGAUACCUUUUUGUUAGGCAUUGCCUGGCAGAAAGUUGUAAGUAUGGCAGAAAGUUGAAUCUCCAUUUUUAAGGAUGGAAAAGGGAUCAAUAAGUACAAAUCUAAAGUAGGCCACGAAAAAGAAAUAAAACAAUUAAAAUGUUCAACUGACCAUAAACUACCAGAAAUUCGUCCAUGCCUGCCUGUAUCACAGAAAUUCAUGGAUAAAUUCAGGAAUCACCUCUGCCCAUUAUAAAGGUAAAUUGAAUGAGCCAUUGAAAUAUUUCAAUUGUCUAUGUUAAAAUGCAAGUACCUAUUGUCAGUCUUCCUCCACACCUCUUCACUUCUUUGUUUUCAGUCUUGUAGCAUAAGAGAAAAAACCUGAAGUCAAAGGGCAGAGUAUUUUUGCACACUCAAAUCUCCAACAACAGGGCAGCAAAAAUUGACGCAGGCCAUAUUGCAAAUUUCCAAUGGAAUAGUCUCAGAAGUGUGUUUGCUGCUGCCUUUCCAGGGGGAGACUCAUCAAAUAUUGUUUCAUUGGAAAGAUUAUAGUCAUAUAUCAAGAACACAAGUCUCUUAUACGUGGAGGGCUACUUGGCACCUUGCCUGCCUGACCAUAGGCAAUGGAAUCUUACAAGUUUGUGUAUAUUGCCACAAACUUUUGUUAACCUGAGAAACAUAAAUAUAUUAUCACAAUAGAAAUGAUUAGAAAUUCAGACGCACAUAAAUAUUGGCACAUUGGUCUUUUUGUUUUUUUGGAGUGUAGAACAAGUACCUGACUGACUGUAUGGCACACCCAAGUCAUUAUGUAUGUGGAAUCACCACCUUCAUUAGUCAUUAGUAUAGCACACGAUCUAUCACUAUGUGUGGAAUGUGAGCUAUAUAUUCCCAAUCUUGGCCUUUCUCAAAUUGGCAUCUACACUCUAGCAAAGGACAACCAUAGAUUUUCAGCCAAGAGAGGGAGUUUGGCAGUCUCUCUUUUGUCAAGUAUUGGAGCUGAUCGCAGUCAGAGAUAAACAAUUUUUUAAGAGAGGUGAGGUGUUGAAGACCUACUUCUCUCAAGGAUUCGAGCACAGGGAGGAAGUCCAUCUCUAACUCUUCAAGAGAGGUAAGAUGUUGAAGCCCCUCUUCUCCGAAGGAUUGGAACUUACGGCAGUUGGAGAUGUAUAAUGUUGUUAGAGAGGUAAGAUGUCGAAGCCCGUUGCUGUCCAGAGACUUGAGAUUCGGAAGAUUAGAUAUGUGAAGAGAGGUAAGUGUGGAGGGCAGUAGGGACUCAUUGGGAAAUGAUUCCAUGUCUCGGCAUCCAUCAUUGAUUCUGAAUUCUGUAAGAGAGGACAGUCUUUGCAAACCCCAGUCCACCUGAGAUGUGAGUUGGUUGCAGGAUGAAAUUUCAACUUCACGUAGGUCGGAGGGCAAACCAUCUCUCUGAAACAACAAUUCUGGACAAUCUAUUAACCUCAAUUCCUGCAACGAUGAGAGCGUGUGCGCCAGCAACUUCAGCUUCCUGCAUCUGGAGAUCUCAUAGUUUGCAGACUCGAGAGCGGGCAAUUCAAUAUAUACAAGAUCAGGGCACCGAAUGAUUUGAAAACUAUUAAGAGAUGUGGGAUCCCCCUCUGAAACGGAGAUGGAGAGGAAUUCAAGCCCUUCGAAAUCAGAGAUGUUGAGACUGUUCAACCGUGGGAAGAUGCUUAAUGAGAAAGAUAAUGAGAAAGAAUUACGGCUGCUAACAUCACAAAUGGAUAAACUUUCAAGGAAUGGAUGGUGGGAUCUCAAUAGCGCAUGCAGGAGAAACUCCAGUUUGUUACACUUCGAGAUACGUAGUGACUUCAAUGUAGUGGGGAAACCAACACUGUGCAAGGGUCUGGAGAAACGACAACUUGUGAUGCACAAAUGUUGGAGAAGACAUGUGCUUCUUUGUAGCAUUCCCUCCUCCAAUACCCACUCUAUCGAAUCACAUUCUCUAAUGAAUAGCGUCUGUAUUCGUGGUGGUAGUUCCUCCAAUUGAGAAAUGUCUGAAAUUUCAAUUACUGAAGUUUGGAGAUUAGUGAACCCACAAGCUGGCCUUUUCAACCGAAAUUUACCAGAAUACGACAUUUUCCAUUCACGGAUUUGAGGAGCUCGGAGGGAGCCCACAAGCAACUCACAACCAAUGAUUUCAAGUUUCUUCAAUGAACGAAGCUGUUUUGGUAAUUUCCCAGUGAGUUUGGGAGAUUCAUUUAUGCAAAGCUCCUGAAGACGAGGGAAUUCUCCACGUCUGCAUCCACAACAUAACCAUUUCUCCCAGUUGUACAUCUUCUCGAAUCUUAGAGUUUGUAGGGACGGGAAGGAGGGCUCAAUUGUGUUGGAGGAAGAAGCAUUCCCAUAAAAUUCACUACCCACCAUUUUAACUCCUUUCAUUUGUAAGAUAGAAAGAUGUUUAAGAGAGGGUAGCUGCCCGAGUGGUGGCAAUGAUGGACAAUUGUUACAAUUGUGAAGCUUCAGGUAAACAAGAUUGAAGAAUGAAGGAUCUCCUACCCAAGCUGGAAAGCUUAAACCACUAAAAGAAUAAAUAUGGAGUCUCUUGAGGUUUGUAUGUGGCUGUAAGCUGCUGAGUAUAUCCCUUCUAUUUUGCACAACAACACCAGCAUCGAUAUUCUUGUAAUCCCACUGCAACUUCAACUCAUCAAGGUACUUUUUAUCCUUCAUAUUAGCUUCUAAUGCAUCCCUAUCACAUACAACAUUCUGCAGCUUUGAAAUGACAAGACUUCCCGAAAGCUCCCUCAAUGCUCCCAAUCUUAACCCACCAUUUUGGCCCACAAUAAAUGUAGAAAGUGAUUGUAAAUUCUUUAGCUUACAUAUAUCACUUGGCAUCUCUUUCACUGAAGAAGUAUAACGAAUAUCAAGGUAGCGCAAAUUAAUCAAUUUUUCCAUCCUUGAGGGUAAUUCAACGAGAUAAUCACAUCCCAAUAACAUCAUUGUUUGUAAAUUGUAUAAGUUACAAACCGAUUCAGGCAACUUUUGAAUCCUUGUCCUAGAGAGAUCCAAGUAGCGCAAGUGUUUCAACUUCUCAAUCGAAUGAGGCAAAUCAGUAAUAAGAUAACCAUUCAAACACAACACUCGUAAACAUUUCAUUUCUGGCAAUAUAUGCUGUAAAACUCUAUUACUCAAGUAUGUAUAAUAAUAGUUUCUUCUUGGUAAAAAUGUUCGGAGACGCUUCAUUUGAGGAAGUGUGUCAAAACUCUCAUAUACAUCAAAUUCACUAAUCAAAUACGAUAAAUGACGAGUUUUCUUCGAGACUCUGUAUAUCUUACCAUCCUCCAAAGAAACAGAAAAUUCUAUAGAUACCAAUUGUGCCAAGUCAUUAACAAGGUCGUGCAUUACAAAACAUGACUCAUUACUUACUGAAUUUUGGAAAAAUGACUUUGAUAGAAGUUCUUCAAAGUACAAAUUGCCUACCUCCUCCGGUCUUUUCUUGCUUUUUGAUUGUUCCAACAAACCUUCUGCCAUCCAUAACAAAACUAGCUUCUCCUUUUCGAAUUUGUAGUCUUUGGGAAAGAUUGAACAAUAAGAAAAACAACGUUUUAGAUGUGAAGGCAGGUAAUAAUAACUCAACCUCAGAGCAGGAAGAACCGCAUCUGUGGGCAAAUCCCAUAAUUCACUGUUUAAUACAUCAUCCCAUUCUCUUGCUUCAACCUUGGAGUGUAAGAGACUCCCCAUUGCUUUUAUAGCCAGCGGUAGACCUUGGCACUUGUGGACAAUCUUUUCUCCGAUUGCUUCUAGUUGUGGAUGCCCACUUGAGUCUCCAUUUUCAAAUGCAAGUUUUUUGAACAGGGACCAGCCAUCUUCAGAGGAUAACCCACCUAAACAAUGAGUAUGGACUGCACGCAUGGCAGAUGCAACCUUGGUGCUUCUCGUAGUUACAAUAAUCUUGCUUCCCUUUGCCCCGACUAUGAGCGGAGUUCGUAGCGUAUCCCAGUCACAAGAGUCUUCGUUCCAAACAUCAUCAAGGACAAGUAGAAAUUUCUUCAUAUUAAUUCUCUCCUUCAGUUGAACCUGAAGUAGAUUUAGAUCAGUGGUAUUGGACGUGGAUGAAUUGAUUGCCUCGAGAAUUGUUUUCGUUACUCUGAUAGGAUCAAAUUCUUCGGAAACACAAACCCAUGCCUUGAGAUCGAAGUGUUCCUUCACCCUUUGGUCAUUGUAGAGAAGCUGGGCAAGUGUGGUUUUGCCUGUGCCACCCAUGCCGACUAUGGAGAUCACACCCAUCGCAUCAGUACUCCUUGCAUUAUUGCACAGCAACAGUUGAACCAUCUCCUCCUUAAUUUGAGCCCUGCCAUAGACAAGAGAUUCAUCUACCAAAGAAGUAGAAGGCCACCUUUGUGCCAAUUUCUCACCAACGCCUUCUUUCAACCCGAGGACGUCUCUGUCUCGUGCCAUAUCUUCUAGUCUAUCAAUGAUCUCCUCCACCCUAGACUCUAUGCCCUGACCAUAAAAUGGAGCGAGAACCCAGGUUGACAUGUCCAUGAUGUUACCCACCUGACUUGUGCUGGUUUGGGACUCCGCAGCUUCCACCUUGUGUCGCAAAGCCUCUGUGGUGAUCUCAUCCAAUAUGUCCUCCGCAUCAUACACGGCCUCUUUAAGCAAGACCAGCCACUUCUUCACAUAUGGAUUUGUAAAUUGUUUGACCUCAGCAUCGUUGAGCACUGCAUGGACGACCAGCAACUUCCUUUCCAACUUCUUCAGGAGCGCAUCGCUGAGCUUCUGCCCCCGGAUGAAGCUCACAACCUCGCGAGAAGCCAACCUGUCAAAUAGAACAUGGAGAGAAGCUGAGAGAAACGCACCUCCAACUAAAGCCCCUGCCAUUUCUGUUUCUCUUGCAAAGGAGGUGAAAGAUGAAUCGAGGGAAGAAGAAAGCAAGCAGACCCAAAAUGAAACCUCCAAACCAGAAAAAAAAAUUAUAGAGAAAAUCCAACUUGUUGACGGUAAAGGAACUUUGGAUUCCAAAGUUUUCAUGGUAGACCCCCCCAUAUGCCAGCUUUCUUUGCCGACAACAAACUUCAUUGGUCAAUAUAUAGAAAAUGAAAAUUUGAUUGAAGAUUUUCAUCCUUCGUACAUGAUUUUCCUUCUAUUGUGAUAAAAACGUAGACUUAAUUGAAGCUUCAUGAAAGCCAUCUUCUGACUUUUUCUGGAUUUCAUCAUUGAUUAAAUGAAAAGUUUUGGUUGUAAAUCAAGGUAUUUUGAGAAUUAAAUGAGAUUUAUAUAAAAAAAUUUAUGAAAAUUUACUUUUAUUGUGUGCUUAAUAUAGGUGAAACUAACAAUUUUUUAGGGUUAAUAUAAAUAUUUUUCUCGUCAGAAUCAUCAAACCAAAAAAAGUUAUCAGGUUUUGAUUUGGAUUUAAGGGUUAAAUCUUGGGGGAUCAUGAUUAAAGAAUGAUAUUAUAAAUAUAUAAUUUAUACAUCAAUUAAAAAUAACUCACAAAAAUUAAAAUUAUUUGUAAAUAUUUUAAAUAAUUGAAAUAUUUUACCAUUUUAUGUUUAAUAUUAUUAUAUUAAAUUGUGAUAAGAAUAAAAUAUAAAUUUAUUAAUAUUUUUAUUUUACUAGUUACUAAAAAUAUUGUAUUUAAUUAUUGAAAGAAUGUAUUAUAUAUAAAAAAUAGAAUAAGAUUUUGAUAUUUAUUUUUUUCAUUUUAUAUUUUAUAAAUCUUGUUAAUAUUUUAGUGUGAAUAUAUACAUGAAUAUCCAAUAUAUUUAUUUUAUAUAUAAAAAAAAACCAUGUUUAGGGGAAAAAUGGAAAUGGUUGGCACUUUUACAUUUAAGGGGAAAGCAAGUGGAGGCAACGUAGUUUGUAUCUUUUUUCUAUUAAAUACAAAAAAGAGGUACAAGAACCUAAAAAAUAGAAGAAAAAUAACAAAAAAAAAAAAAAAGACGCAACAGUUGGGAAAAGGUUGGUCUAAUUCUUAUUUGACCAACCAAUUUGAACUCUUAGACUUGCUUAAGCUUUUAGUAAAUUGAUUAUUCAAAAUGGUAUCAUAACUUGAUUUGAUAGGAGGUCUUAUUGAUAGGAGGUGUUAAGAAUAUAAUAUGAAUAUUAAACCCAAAUCGUAUAAAUUUAAUUUUUAGGGAAAUUGGUUGUUUAACAAGAUCGAUGGUUCAAGUGGUCCACUAGGUAAAAUUGUUCAAUUUCUCAAUAGUAGGAUGAUUGGUCGAUAUUCCAACAGGUCGAAUUAUCCAAUUUGGUUCAAUUUUUAAAACCUUAAUUAAUAAGCAACAACAUACAAUUUCUAGAUGGAUUAUGAUUCUUUUAUCGAAUUUCAAUAGAAUCGUUAAUGCAUAAAGUUUUUUUAUAUAUAGAUACUAUGGAUUUGUUUGGCAAAUUUUGAAAAACAAUUCUUAGUUAUUUUGAGGAAUAAAAUUCUAUUUGAAAACUCAAAUAUAAAAAAAGGCUUUAUUAAUUUAUUUUUUAUAAAAGUAUUGUGCAUUUAUGUAUAAUUCAAAAGUUUUUAAAAUAUUUUACAUUUUUUCAAUUAUUACUCACAACUCAAGCAUGCACAAAAAAUAACUAAAAACAUCUCAAUUUUAUUAUAAAAAAGUUAUUUUUAGAAUACAUUCUCAAAAAAUUAUUUUGUAUAAAAAAUGUUCUAUAGAAAAAAAAUAAAAAUUCAAAAUCAUUAGUAAGUAAGCCUAUGCAACUGUGAAUGCUUUGCACAAAAUGAAAAAGAAAAAUGGUAUUUUUCAAUACCAUUUGAAAUCAUGAAAAGACCAUAACCUUGCAUACAAUAUAUGGGUCAAGGCCUUUAAAAAAAAAAAAAUCUUUUUAUUUGGAUAUCUAACUUGGGAUUCAAGGUUUAAUUAGGAAUUUGGUCAUUCAUCACCAUUUUCAUUAGUUGAAAUUCUUUGGUAGACUUGGUUGUUGACUUGGUAGUUCAUAUCAAGCCAUAUGGACUUCAGACCCACCCACUAGAUAUGAAUGAAAAUAAAGGCAAGUGGGGGUGGUAGGAAGACUCUUAUUAAUAGCUUUUGUCAAGUACUGGAGCUUAGGGUAGUUGUGGACCAAUGUUACUUAGGAUCUUAUCAAUUCUUGUUACUGACAGCUGGGGUUGUAGCUUAAGAAAAUAUCUUCAAUCAAACAAAUGAUACACCAGCAAACCCAAGUCUCCAACAAGAAUCAAAUUUCGCAUACCAGAUUUUCACCUUAUCCUUUCUCUAUUAUUUUUUCAAACAAAAAUUCCAUUAAUGUUAAAUUAUUAUUAAGUUGCAUAUUUUAGUUGCUUGAAUAUCAUUAUUUAAUAAGGGGCCAUGGGGUGUUAUGUAAUCCAAGUAGAAAUUAAUAAUAACUCUUUGUGCAAUUGUUUAGCCUACAUUUUUUUUUCUUUUUUCAUUUAGACAACACUUGUAGCAUCUUAAAUCCUGGUUUCCCUCAUUGGAUUGAAGUAGUUUUAGCAGAAAAUGUAAUGUGCAAAACCAUGGCUGCUACAUGUAACUCUAUCGAUAUAUCUAAAUCAACUAUUUUUUUUUGUCAAAGGUGAAAAAUGAUUAGUACUAGUACAUUAAAAUAAGAACUAUAUGUUGCAUAAGGAAAAGGUUUAAUAUUGCAACAUAUUAAUAGAAGGGCAUCAACUAAAAUUAUCCAUAUAUAAAGGUGUAUAGGAUUUUAUUAUGAUUCGAUCAAUCAUGCCUACCUUCACAGAUGCGAGAUAACAUUUCACAAUAUGAUAGAAAAUAUUACAGAGGAUACAAAUAAUUACAACUAUUGGAUUUCAAAAUAUUUCAAGUUUUCCACUCUUUGUAUUUUCAUUCUAAAUCAUGAGCUAUUUUGCUCCAUCCGGUGUCUCCCACUCUUCCUCGUAUCUACACCCUAGACCGUAAGGCCUCUUACUCUAUCAGAUGUCUUUUACUCAUUUUCACAUCUCUAUCCAUAAUAUGUAGUCUUUACAAACUGACCUCUAUUAUAUCUCUUCUCAUAACUUUUUCAACUUGAUCAUAACCUAAAAUAUUUAUAGAGAUACUCCUAUUUGCUUUACUUAUUCUAUAAAGAAUCUAAUUACGAUCACAUAUCAACCUAGGAAACAUUUUAUAUAAUAUUCCUUUUUGACCGCUGGAUUUGUAAUUUGCUUCGCCUUGGCAUCAUUGAGCACGGCAUGGACAGACAACAAUUUUCUCUUCAACUUCUUGAGGAGUGCAUGAUUGAGCUUGUGCCCCAUGAUGAAGUUGAGUACCUCGUGAGAAGCAAGUCUGUGAAAUAGAACUUGGAGAGAAGCUGAGAGAAAAACACCUCCAGCCAAAGCCCCAUCCAUGUCUGUUUCUCUGGCAAAAGGAAGUGAAAGAUGAAUCGAGGGAAGAAAGUAAGCACACCUAAGAUGAAACCUCCAAACUAGAAAAGAUUGGUUCAGGCGAAGUUUCCAAUGGUUGAAUGAAUUAUUGGACAUUGUGGUAGAGCCCAGACUUCUGCAUUGUUAUUGUUGACAAAACAUCACAGCUCAGUGGUCCACGAAAAGAAUACAAGGAGAAAGGAAGAAAAGGAAAGGGGACGUAAACGAAAGUCAUACAUGGAUAUGUGAACUUACAAAUCCUAUAUCCUUUUAUCAAUAAAACAGUUGAAAUAUUUUAUCAUUUUUAUAUUAAAUCAUGAUAAAAAUAAAAUGUAAAUUUAUUAAUAUUUUUAUUUUAUUAGUUCGUAAAUUAUAAUAUUUAAUUACUAAAAAAUAUAUUAUAUGUCAAGAAAAGAAGAAGUUUUUUUCUUUUCCUUUUUCUUUUUUAAAAUUUUACGUGAAUAUUCAAUAUAUUCAUUUCAAAUAAUUAAUGUUAUUAAAAAUGGUAUUUUUAAUACUAUUUGACAUCAUAAAAGGACCAUAACCUUGCAUACAAUAUAUGGGUCAAGGCCUUUUCAAAAAAAUAAUUUGUUUUUAUUUGGUCAUUCAGCACCAUUUUCAUUUAUUGAAAUUCUUUCGUCGACUUGGUUGUUGACUUGGGAAUUCACGUCAACCCAUAUGGACUUCAGAUUCCCCACCAGAGAUGAAUGAAAAUAAAGGCAAAUAUGAAAGGCAAGUGGUGGUGGUAGGAAGACUCUUAUCAAUAACUUUUGUCAGGUACUGGAGCUUAGGGUGGCUGUAGACCAAUGUCAUCCCGAAUCUUAUCAAUCCCUGUUACUGACUGCCGGGGUUAUAGCUUAAGAAAAUAUCUUCAAUCAAUCAAAUGAUGCAUCCGCAAAUCCAGGUCUCCAGCAAAAUUCAAAUCAUUAUUCACAUCACAACCUUUUUUGAACCUAUGUGCAAGCAAGGAGGCUGCUCGUGCGGUUAGGUGUUAAUGAAGGAUGAAAAUAUCGGUAAUCAUGGAUAUAUUAGUACUUGAAUUUUACGGAUAUAUUGAGAUAUAUCGACGAAUAUUUUGCCACAAAAUAUCGAUAGAUCAAAAAUUCAUCAAAACUUAUGAAAAUGUAAGAAAAAAACUCUUAAAAAUGAAAUUAGAAGUAUAAUAGACAUUUUAAAGUUGUUUUGUUGAAAAAUUAAUAUAUGUAUGAUAUGAUUUGCGAUAUUAAAUUUAAUUAUAUAGUGUUGACUAAUAAGAAAUGUGAAUUUUUUAAGUGUAGACUCAUUAUGAAGUUAAAUUAUUACAAAUAUACUAAUUAUAUAAUUUAAAUAUAUUACUAUAUUAAGUUAAUUUACUUACCUCUAUUGAAAAUAUAUUAAUUAAUUGUAAAAAUGUACUAAUUUAAAUUCAAUGUUAUAUUAAUUUAAAAUUGUAUUAAGUUAAUUUAUUCUUAAUAUACUAUUAUUACACUUGAAUAUCAAAAUAAAAUAAAAUUAUUAAUUUAAAACUAAAUUAUUGAAAAUUUACUAAUUAUGUUAUUUAAAAAUAUUUAUGAUUUUUAUUUUAAAAUAUUGGUACAUUUUGAUACAAAAUAUUUUUAUUUUAAAAUAUUGAUAAUUUUAUUUGUGAUUUUAUAUUUGUUUUAUAUUUAAUUAGUAUACAAAAUAAAUUAUAAGAUAAUUAAAGUUAACUUAUUUAUAAUAAUUUAAUUUUUUACCAAUUUUUCACUGAUAUAUUAUAUCCAAUAUAUCUUUGAAAUUUCAGCAAUUUUUUCCCAUUUAGGAUCGAUAUUUUGCUUGUAUCACCGAUAUAUUUGUGACACCGAAAUUUACCGAUAUUUCCAUCAGAUGAUAUAUCUUACUUAUAUAUUGUAUCCACCUUCUUCGAUACACUAUAUAUCGGCGAGAUAUUGCCAAUAUAUCUUGAUAUUUUCUUCCUUGGUGUUAACAGGGUUAGCCAAUUUGUUGAAUUUGUAGUUUAACAUCCACACACACAUUCUUUCCACAUCAUUUGAUGGCCAUUCAUAGAUUAUAUAUAAAUUUAGAGUACUUAGGAUUUGAGGGCCAUGAAGGGAAAAAAGACAGUGGUAAAGAAGGAAAAAAGUAGAACUGUAAUUAGCUUGGCCCUUGAGAAAUAUUUUUUGGUCACACUGUUCCAUCAUUUGGCCUGAACGAAAAUCCUCAAUAUGUCAAAGCUAUAUUGUACAAAAUUCCUUACAGGCUAAUAUUUGUUGACACACUUCUGCCAUGAAUACAUAAGCCGGUAGUGUUAGAGCUCUCCACAUUACUGAGACAGAUGGGCUCCUGUCAUGAAACAUUUGAUUUUUCCAGGAAAAGGAAAAUUUUGUCCUAGUUGAGUUCCAAUGACCCGUCCUUAUAUUUGCUUGCGCAAUUUUGGAGUUCAUUCUCUCCCUCCUUAAUUGUCUAAGAACUGAUGGAUGCUAAUCUUAAACCGUCUGGCAUUAGCCAACCCUAUGGAGAUGGAAAACAUGGUAGUUAGGUGUGGCGAAGAAGUCUCAAAGCUCUUGGACCCUUUUGAAGAGGCAGGAAUUGAAGAAAUUGUUGAAAUCAUGAGUGGAUUUUCAAGAGAUUGUGAGGAAGUCGCCAACAUCGACAAGUUUCAAGCGAGGAAAGCAGUUAUGAGCAGGAUGUUGGUGAAGAGCCUGCAACCUGGGGAUGUCAUGUUUGAGAGAAUAUCCCAUGCUGUUUAUUUGGCUGCAAGAGGAGUAGUGCUUGUAGGGAAGGGCCCUCAAGGAAGAAAAUUAGCAGAAAUGGCACUCUGGCGGGUGAGAGCUGUUGAUCUGAUUGAUAGAGUGGUGACAACUGCUGUAAUAUUGGUGGCAGCAGCCACAGUGUCGGUUAAUAUUCAUGGGCAAUGGUAUACAUAUCUGAUUGAUUUGACAUGAAGAAGAAUGAAGUUAAUUAUAAGGUGGAAAGAAGAAAAUAAUGCACACACCUGUACAUAGUAGUGGGUGUACAUUUAUGUUUUAAGUAUGAACACAGGAUGGAAGGUUGUUAAUGUGAAGAAAUAUUUCAUGAAUAGGAGAAAGGGAUGUUGUAAAUAAUAUUUAUAACUUAAUUGAAUGUUUCUUUUCUAUUCUGAUUCAACUCCCUUUAUUUUCUGUCCAGACUCUAGAGAAAUAAAGUAUGUCUGUCUGUAUGUCUGUUAAUAACACUUGGGAUAUAAAUAAUUGCUUUCAUGUUACAAUCAAAAGUUCAUAGUUGUUAGAAUGGAUUUGGUUCAGGUAAGGAAGGAUGGAAACAAGGCAAAAGCUUGUGUAAUAUCUGUAAAUCAUUGGUAACAUAGUUUUGGAAAUUCCAAGUGAAGUAAUGUUUGACCACUUUUUUCUGGAUUAGGUACCUUAGAAAUGAGAACUUGCACAGAGGAGUGAAUUUUGUAUUGCAUGAAGAGAGUGAAUAAGCUCAACAUAACACCAUUCUUCAUUCCUUUACAAAAUUAGGAAGUGUAAAUGUGAAUGGAUCAAGUUACAGUAUUCUUCAUGAUGUAUGAAUCUUUCUACUGAUAUAAACAAUGAGAACCAAGAUGGAAAUUGGAAUUCCUUCAAUGAACAACAACAACUUCCUCACUUUGGUGCUCCCCACCUUCCAUCCCCAACAAUCUUUGUCACAAUUUUAUGACAAAUUAAAGCUACAAACACCUUAGCUACUGAAAAGUAUAAGCCAAAAGAAAACAACCCAGUCACUUUCUGGUUAGCAAUAAGAUGUCAUACAUUUCAACCACAUAGAACCUACAAAAUGAUUUAAGAAAACAACUUGUAAUUUGUAGAUUGGAAGGAUAGUCUCCAUGGUUGGAGAACAUAUAAGUGGCUAUGAAUGUAUAAUUCUUGAAUAGAGUUGAGAAGUGUAUGAAGAUAUUAGGAGCUAUGUGAUUGUUCAUAUAUCAAGAUGGCCUGUGUCUUUGCUACUGUCUUCCAUGGGUAGAGCCAUGGGGUAUUGUUUCAUUGGAAAGAAAGAUCAUUUCUAAAUGUCCAGUGAGAAAAUCAAAUUGAAAGCCUGCAGUGAAUAUCAAUAAAUUAGCCCAUGGAGAAUCUGAGGCUCAUGAGUAUAUAUAAAGAAGACAAGUCACUUAUUAUACCUGGAGAGCUGCUUGGCACCAUGUCUUAUGACCAUGGCAACAACUUAAAAGUUAAUUUGUAUGUAAGGACAUUUGAGACCAGAACUGACAAUUCAACUUCAAAGUUAAUUUGUAUAUUGAAGCACAAGAUGUUGAACAUCAACUUCUGUGAAGGAUUGGAAUUUAGGGCAAGUAGAUAUGCCCUAAAAGGAACAGUUAGAUGUCAACCACAACUGAACUGAAAUUGGCUAGAUUGAAAUGGUACUUCAAACACAUAUUGAGAGGUGCUUUGACUUCUUCUAUGUCUCUACCUUACAAAGAAGAAAAUACUUCAAAAAAUCCAUAUAAUCAUUGCUAAGUACAAGAAGACCCCAAUAUUCUGUGUCUGUUUUCAACUGCUGUGUUGGAAUAAGAAAAAAAAAAAACCCUCUAAUUGAAGGAAGGGGGCAAAGAAGCAUAAGAUGCUACUUUCCCAUGCCAGUCUUUUGUAUUAUGAAGCUUUGAACCAUCCCAACCCAAAGGAUAUCCAUCAAUCUAAUAGUUCAUCAUGAUUUGCAAAACACAGGUUUGCAUGCAACAAUGACACUAAACAAUAAAGAUUGAUGCCAGUUUAGCUUAUCAGAGAAAAAAGGACUACUGAGUCAGACAUCUGUUUUCCAUUGGAGAUGAUGCCCUAAUCAAGAAGAUUAAAGGGUGAUUGGAGUUUGAAGUGUCAUAACCACCUGAAAGAAAACAAUUGCAAAGACAUGGACAGAUGCACAUAAAAUGUAUGUAUCCACUAACAAAUGGUUAAUUGAGAGGAAGACAUCAUUUUUGAAACCAAAAGGAUUUUUCUUAGCUUUGGUAGUAACACACCCAACAUCUCCUUGUAUAAUACAAAUCAUAUUCCUAGAACUAAAAUAGCAGCAUCUUCAGGCGCCUUUGGAGAAGCUCUUAGCACCAGUUAAUGAAGGUGACUCAUGAGGGAUGGUCAAAGGACUAGCUGAGAUAUCUGAAAUAGAAGACAUGUUUAUUAUCUGUCUGUGAAUAACUAGUGUUGAGCAAAAUGCCUUAGUAGCUACAAAAAUGCUGGAAGACGUGUGAAAGUUGUUUUUGAAUUGAGGAAGCUUAGGAAUCUGUUAAGAAGGCUGCUGAGGUGAGAAGAGAUGCUGAAAUUGAGGCUGCAACCAUAAAACAACUUAGUCAAUGAACCUGAUAGAGUUUCAUGGAGCUGUUAUGCUGCUGUUGCUAUUUUAUAAGAAAUAGCUGUUAGUUCCAGCUAUUUUUGCUGCUUUUCUAUUGUUUUCUAUUGCAAACUUGUGUAUAAAUGUUGCAUUUAUCAUUCAAUAAGAGUAGACAUUUUCGUUGUCUCAUAUACAACUUUUGGUUGUUGCUUCCAGCACUUCUAGAUUCUAAAACCAACAGAUUGGUAUCAGAGCCUUCUAUCUUAAGGGACCUGUGAGGAUUGAGUGAAGCCAAAAUACCUUCAAAUGGAUGGAGAUACAAGCUUUCUGUCAGUACCAGUUUUCAAUGGUGAUAAUUAUCAAGCAUGGGCUGUUAGAAUGACAGUCCACCUUGAAGCUUUGGAUAUUUGGGAGGCAGUAGAAGAAGAUUAUGAAGUACCACCACUUGGAGACAAUCAAAGUAUCAAUCAAAUGAAGAUUCACAGGGAAAGAAAAACAACGAAAGCGAAAGCCAAGGCCUGCCUCUUCUCCGCAGUUUCACCUUCCAUUCUCACCAGAAUCAUGCAAAUGGAGUUUGCUGCAGAAAUCUGGGAGUAUCUAAAAAAUGAGUACCAGGGGAAUGAAGGGGUGCAGAAUAUGCAGGUAAUGAAUUUAAUCCGAGAAUUUGAAAUGACCAUAAUGAAAGAGUCUCAAACUAUCAAAGAUUAUGUUGAACAACUACUUAGCAUAGCAAACAAGGUAAGAUUGUAUGGUAAGGAAUUUUCUGAUGAAAAAAUCGUUCAGAAAAUCUUAGUAACUCUGCCUGAAAAAUAUGAAGCCACAAUCUCUUCCUUGGAAAACUCUAAAGAUCUGUCAAGUAUAUCUUUGGCAGAAAUUGUUAAUGCUUUGCAGGCCUUGGAACAAAGGAGAAUGAUGAGACAAGAAGGAUCUGUUGAGGGAACAUUUCAAGCCAAAUCACAAAACAAUGAUUUCAGAAAAGACAUAAAGAAAAACAAGAAGAACAACAAGUCAAGCAAUAAUAAAAAGAAUCAGAAAGGAGCCCAUCCACCUUGCCUUCAUUGCAAAAAAACAAAUCAUCCUUCACAAAAGUGUUGGUGGAGGCCAGAUGUCAAGUGCAACAAUUGUGGUCAAUUAGGCCAUAUGGAGAAGGAAUGCAAAACACAACAAGAAUGAGAGAUCAAGGUUGCAGCUGCUGAUCAAUAUCAUGAAGAACAGUUGUUUGUUGCCACCUGUUUUUCCAGCAAAAACACGUCUGAAAGUUGGCUCAUAGACAGUGGUUGCACAAACCACUUAACUUAUGAUCAAGGGCUUUUUAAGGAACUUGACAAAACAACCAUUUCCAAAGUAAGAAUUGGAAAUGGGGAAUACAUCUUAGCAAGGGGCAAAGAGACUGUUGCCAUUGAAAGCCUCUCAGGUUUGAAACUUAUCCCUGAUGUUUUAUUUGUUCCUAAUAUUGAUCAAAAUCUCUUGAGUGUUGGGCAGCUACUUGAGAAUGGUUUCAAGGUGCUAUUUGAGGACAAGUUCUAUAUGAUCAAGGAUGGAAAUGGAAAAGAUGUGUUCAAGAUCAAGAUGAGAGGCAAAAACUUUGCCUUGAAUAUGAUUGAGGAAGAGUAGGUUGCUGUUUCUCAAGAAAAUAAUGUCACAGCUUUAUGACAUAAGAGAUUGGGGCAUUUUCAUCAUAAUGGAGUGCUCUACAUGAAGAAGAAUCAACUUGCAGUAGGUCUACCUGACCUGAAGCAAAAUCUUCCUACUUGCGUAGCUUGUCAGUAUGGAAAACAAUCCAGACUUCCUUUCGCACAGAAAUCUACAUGGAGAUCAUCACACAAACUGCAACUUGUACACACUGAUGUUAGAGGACCUCAGAGAACACCAUCUUUGAAGGGUAGUAAGUACUAUAUUGCCUUUAUAGAUGAUUAUACCAGAUAUUGUUGGAUUUUUUUCCUAAAUUUUAAAUCUGAGGUUGCUGAUGUAUUUUGGAAGUACAAGGCUCUAGUAGAAAACCAAAGUGGUGCCAUCAUACAGGUUAUAAGGACAAAUAAUGGCACUGAAUAUACUUUUGAAAGAUUCUAACAAUUUCUGUGAAGAAGCAGGCAUAGAGCACCAAUUGACUGCACCUUACACACCACAACAGAAUGGAGUGGUGGAGAGGAAGAAUAGGACUAUAAUGGAGAUGUCAAGAUGCCUUUUGCAUGAGAAAGGGCUACCAAAAAAGUUCUAGGCUGAAGCCGCAAACACUGUAGUGUUUCUACUGAACAGACUCCUAACCAAAGCUUUGAAAAAAAGACUCUUUUCGAGGCUUGGUUUGGAUAUAAACCUCUGUUGUUAAACUUAAAAAUAUUUGGUUGCCUUUGUUUUUGUUAUGUGCCUCAGGUGAAACGGGACAAGUUGGAUAAAAAGGCAGAAGUCGGGAUUUUUGUAGGAUACAACAGCCAAUCAAAGACUUAUAGAGUCUAUAUGCCUCAUGCUGACAAAGUCAUUGUUAGCAGAGAUGUCAAAUUCAUGGAGGAUGAUAAAUGGAGUUGGGAUGCUAAAAAAAAUCAGAAUUUUAAGUUUCUUGAUGAAAAUAUUGAUGACAUUCCCUUAAGAGGCACCAAAUCACUUUCUAAUAUUUAUCAAAGGUGUAAUGUGGCUGUGUUUGAGCCUGUAGGUUUUAAUGAAGCCGUUGAGGAUAAAAAAGGGAGGGUUACAAUGCAGGAGGAACUCAACAUGAUAGAGAAAAACAACACUUGGGAGCUAGUUGACAGACCAACACAUAAAAAGGCCAUUGGUGUCAAGUGGGUUUAUAGAACCAAACUCAAUUCUGAUGGUUCUGUAAACAAACAUAAAGCCAAGUUGGUUGUCAAAGGUUAUGCUCAAAUGUUCGGUGUGGAUUUUUCAAAAACCUUUGCACCUGUAGCAAGGUUGGAUACAAUAAGGAUGUUGCUAGUUUUGGAUACUCAAAAGGGUUGGAAAAUCUAUCAGCUAGAUGUAAAAUCAGCUUUUCUAAAUGGCUACCUUAAGGAGGAAAUCUUUGUGGAGCAACCUGAAGGAUUUGCAGUAAAAGACAAAGAAGACAAGGUUUAUCAACUAAAGAAAGCCUUGUUUGGCUUGAAGCAAGCCCCUUGAGCUUGGUACAACAGGAUUAAUGUACAUCUGCUUGGUCUGGGGUUUAAAAAAAGUCAGAGUGAAUCCACACUCUACAUUAGAAAAAUUGAUGUUGACAUACUUAUUAUUUCAUUAUACGUUGAUGAUUUGCUUGUAACAGGAAGCAAUCAAUGUUUAAUGGAUAAAUUCAAAGCUGAAAUGGAGGAGGUCUUUGAGAUGACAGAUCUUGGAGACAUGUCUUAUUUAUUGGGAAUGGAAGUGCAUCAGAAUCAGCACGAGAUAUUCAUCUGUUAGUAGAAGUAUGCAAAAGAAAUUCUAAAAAAGUUCAAGAUGGAGGAAUGCAAGCCCACAACCACACCUAUGAAUCAAAAAGAAAAGUUUUGCAAAGAAGAUGGUGCUGAAAAAGUAAAUGAAGAGUUAUACAGAAGCAUGAUUGGAUGCUUGAUGUAUUUGAUUCCAACAAGGCCAGGUCUACUCUCAUGAUACAUGCAUUGUGCUAGUGAAAUUCACUUGUAGGCAGCAAAACGUAUUGUGAGAUAUAUAAAAGGCACUAUUGACUUUGGCAUUAAGUUCAAGUAGGUGCAGAAUUUUCAUUUUCAUGGAUUUUCUGAUAGUGAUUGGGCUGGCUACGUUGAUGAUAUGAGAAGCACAUCAGGUUAUUGCUUUAGUUUUGGUUCAGGUUUUUUCUCUUAGUGCUCUAAAAAACAGGAUAUCGUGACACAAUCCACAGCUGAAGCAGAGUACAUUGCUACUGCUACUGUUGCAAAUCAAGCACUUUGGAUAAGAAAACUCCUAACAUACUUAAACAUGGAGCAAACUGGGAGCACGCAAGUCUUUGUUGACAGUCAAGCUGCAAUUUCAAUUGCAAGUAAUCCAGUAUUCCAUGGCAAGACAAAGCGCUUCAAAAUCAAGUUUUAUUUCUUAAGAGAAAUACAACAUGAUGGAGAAGUAACUUUGAUACAUUGUAAAACAAAAGUACAAAAUGCUGAUAUUCUAACAAAAGCUCUACUAAGAGCUAGGUUUGAAUUUCUCAGAAAAAGACUUGGAGUUUGUAGCUCCCAAGUCAAGGAGGAGUGUUGAGAAAAAUGCCUUAGUAGCUACAAACAUGCUGGAAGACGUGUGAAAGUUGUUUUUGAAUUGAGGAAGCUUAGGAAUCUGUUAAGAAGGCUGUUGAGGUGUGAAGAGAUGCUGAAAUUGAGGCUGCAACCAUAAAACAACUUAGUCAAUGAACCUGAUAGAGUUUCAUGGAGCUGUUAUGCUGUUGUUGCUAUUUUAUAAGAAAUAGUUGUUAGUUCCAGCUAUUUUUGCUGCUUUUCUAUUGUUUUCUGUUGCAAACUUGUGUAUAAAUGUUGCAUUUAUCAUUCAAUAAGAGUAGACAUUUUCGUUGUCUCAUAUACAACUUUUGGUUGUUGCUUCCAGCACUUCUAGAUUCUAAAAUCAACAACUAGUCAGAGGCAUGUUUCGGUAUCAUUUGGGGUAUAAAUUAAUGGAUUUCAUGUUUCACCUUUAAUUUUCUAUUUCUUAAGUAUUAUAUGCUGUGACUUGUGAUGAUGAUGACUCCUAUCUUCUUUAAUUGCUUAAUCCUUCAUGACCUAUAAGCUAAAGUACAUAGCUGUUGUGGGACAUGGAAAAAAGGCAAAAGCUGGUGUGAUCUUUGUAAUUCAUCACUAGCAAUGUUCUGGAAAAUUCCAAUUAAAGUAAUAUUUGAUCAAUUCUUGCAGAUUAGGUACCCUAGAACUAAGAGCUUGAGCAGACUUGUCUAUUGCAUAAAGAGAGUGAAGAAGCUUAACAUAACGUCCUUCAUUCCUUUUAUUCAGAAUUAGGAAAUUGAAUGAGAACGAAUCAAGUUACAGUAUUCGUCAGGAUGUCAAGAUCUUUCUAAACUUCUGACUCUGCUGAUACAAACAAUGGGAAUUCCUCCAAUGAGAGAAGCACAGGAACAUUGUCAAUUCUAAGAAAAUGAUCCUAGUUUUGAUUUCUGAAUAGGGGACAUGAGAGUGAUCUAAGUGAUCAUCCCAACAGCAACACCAUGUAUACAGAAGACCUAAGAAAGACCAAAACAAGAACAAAAUGACAUCAAAAUUAGGAAAGAAACAAAUGCAUCAAAAUCAUAACAAAGAUGUUAUAUUCUUGUAUCCUUGCCUUUCAAAUGUGACUAAUUGCUAAUCUUUCACUUUAUGCAAGCAGAAGCAUAACAAACACCAUCUCUGGUAAAAUGCUGACUGCCAAACCAAUACAGAGCAACCUCAUUCAAACAUGACCAGACUUGACCAAUUCAGUACUAGAAACAUAGAAGCCAUUGUAGUAGCGUCCUUUCCAUCUCCCUGUUUAAUACCAGUUAAGGUUUUAGGCACUGAAAAAGAAGAACCUUCCUCACUCCACCUUCCAUCCCCAACAACCUUUGAAAUAAUUUUGUUACAAAUUUAAGUAACAAAUCCUUAUUUAUUGAAAAGCAUAAGCCAAAAGAAAACACACCUGUUUCAUUUUGGUUAGGUAUAAGAUAUCACACAUUUUGACCUCAUACAAUCCACAAAAUGAUGUAAGAACAACUUGUAAUUUGCAGAUUACGAAGAGCGUCUCCUUUGUUUUACCCUCAGAAAAUGGACCAAAGCAAUUAAAAUAUUUCUCUAACCAUAAAUGUGCCCAUGUAUGCUUAUGUAAGAGAAAAUCAGAAAUCAGCCUUGCCCAUUCAAAAGGUAAUGUAAUUGAGUCAUGGAGAAUAUAUAAGUGACUUUGUUUGGUAUGAGCUACUUGGGAAGAAAUCUUUGUUCAUUCUUGAUAUCUUUGUUCUUGAUUUGUACCAAACAAACAGAGCAUAAAAUUGACUUUUUGUUAAUCUAUAAUUCUUGAAUAGAGUUGAGAAGUGUAUAAAGAUUCUUAUAAUUGUCCAUGAGUAGAGCUAUUGUGAUUGUCCAAGGGGAGUUGACCUUGGGUGUUGAAAAUUACCAAUGAAAGAGUUGAGGGCAUGUAUCUUGGGUGUUGUCUUCCGUGGGGAGUCAUUGAAGAAAGAUCAUUACCAAAUGUCUAGUGAGAACAUCAUAUUGAAAGCCUGUAGUAAAUAUUAAUAAAUUAGUCCCUAGAAUAGAAUUAGAGGCUCAUGAGUAUAUGGAAUAAGACAAGUCACUCAUUCACUACUACAAAAAUUGUAUACAAUGAUGUUCACUUUCUUGGCGCUUUUAAAAAGUGUCAACAUUUCCAACCUACAAUGGUGCUUGCUAGAAGGUUGGGUAAUAAUAGCGCUUAUUGUAUAAAUUCUUGGCGCUUUAUAAAAGCGUCCUUAAAAAAUUCACUUUUUUAUAUCUAAGACGCUUGGUAAAGUGUCAUUUGUUAACAUAUUAUAUAUACUUCUUUCUGAAAUUUCAUCACACUGCCAAACAUGUCCCCGAACAAAUCAAGUUCCCUUUCAAACCCACCAACACAUAUCGAGCUCUCUUUCACUCUGAGAAGAACUUUCGUGCUACAACCAGAUAUUGAAGACCUACCGGAGAGUGUAUUUCAUGCUGACACCCACACCAGGGGCAGUCUACUAGCAAUUUCUUUGAAACACCUAUGACAACAAAUUGCUCCAUUAUUAAAGUCCAAGAUUCUAGCAAUCGACUAGAAAUCGAACUUACAAUGAGUGGCCAGUGAGCAAAAUCAUUCCUUACAAAAUCUGUAUGAAACAAAUCCACCAUUGCCAAGCUCAUUCUCUUUUAACACAUUUUCAUGGUGAAGACUUUCAAACUUUGUCUAAGGUCAGUAAAUAUUCUCUUCUCAUCCUUUCCACUUGAAGCAUUGAAGUAUUCUUAUAGUUUCUGUCCAACCCUAAUUUCGUUUUUGCUAGCCCUAACUAUUGUUUUACAACUAAUUAAUUAAUUUAUUUUUUAUUGUUCAGCCCUAACUAUUUUACCUUAUACAUACGAUUUGGCUUGAAUAUUUAUGCCAAAGAUGACAUGUUAGGUUAAUGCUCUAAAUUUUCUCUUAUUUUUCUCUAUAUCAUAUAAAACAUCUUAGGAUUUGAAAGAAUUUUAUAGUUUUCUCAGUAUUACUUUAAAUUCUUGAAUUUCCUCUCUAAGGUUUCCUAAUUCAUUUUUUAAGAUUUCAAUAGCAGGAAUUUAAUGCCUAUUUUAACUUUUGAAGCAAGAAAAACUAACUUUGAGUGGCUGGAUUGUUAAUAUUCAGAACUGAAGUCAGACAUGAAACUGAUGUUUGAAAUUUUCAUUUGGUGCCCCAUAUGCUAUAAAGGCAGUGGUUUACAAGGUUGGUUUGUGGUUCAAUGGAAACUUCGUUGGCUUGACUUUAAUAUAUCCUGGAUAGGCAUUUUUCUGUAAGUGUGGUUAUAUUUAGAUAAGGAUUGAUUUGGUGUGAAUGGGUUCACUUCAAAAUUUGUAUAUUUUUGGCUAAACCAAACCAACCAAGCUAUAAUUUUUAUUAUAUUUUAGAACUUGGAUCACUUAAAAUCAAGAAUCUUUAAGAAGAAAAGUUUGAUACCCUGCCAAAUGAUCUUAAAUUCUAAGGAUUUAAGUAGUUAGAAAAAUAAAUGAAUCUUAAGAUGUUUAAUAUUUGAUUAAAGAUAAUGUUAGUUUAAGAAGAAAUAUAUAAUGAUAACAUGCCUUCAUCAUAUAAUUUUGUUGAGAGAAAAAAAAUAUCUACAAAAAGCUAAUAAAAGUGGGGCAGAGAAUAUUAAAAUUUGUGAAUGGAUUGACAUGAUUGGGAACAAUUCUUAGAUUAAUGGUCUUGCUGAAUACAUAAUAAUAUUGGUAGGUAGUGGAAAACAUGCACAACUUGGGUGAGAACAUUAAAUUUGGUAAUAACCCUGCAUCACAAUCCCAAGCAACUCUACAAGGCACAUUAACAAGUGGCACACACUUUGUUUACCCACAAAUCAUGAAAACAUGCUAUAAAACUUCAUUGGAAAAAUCUUUGUUUUUAAUUUUUUUAUGACUUGCGUUUAACCCACUUGAAAUUGCAAUUGUUGAGGAAUCAUGACUUAGUCCUUGUUUAUGAAUACAUUAGAACCAGUUGGUCAACUGCAAUACUUUCACAAAAUGGUUUACAUUUGCCAAGUUCUAAAGUAACAUGAUAAAUUUAAUAUUUUUUUUCCUUUGAUUGAUAAGAUAACAAAAUUUGGUUGAUGUUGUUCAUUAUUAUUUUUUAAAUAUUCUUUUCCCUCAUGGAGGCUUACAGUUGGUUAUUUUUAUUUUUAAUCUCAUUCACAUUUUGUGUUUGUGUACUUACAGUCUGAUGCAUAUUUCAUUAUAGGAAAGAAAUGAAAGUUUGUUAGCUAAGUAGAAGGUUAAAGUUGUUUUUUUUAGAACUUUGAUUUCUGGUUAUUUCAACAAUUCCUAUUCAAUAGUGUGCUUGCCUUUUUCCAAGUUGAAUUUUUCUCUUAGAAAAGCAUACUAGAAAGUUGUAAUGGUUUAAGUACAAAACCUAAGUAGAGAACCUUGCUCUUGUUUUUGUAGUUGAAGAAUCAAAUAAUAGCAGUUUCAUCAUCAAUGAGUUAUCUUACAAUAGCAAGUUGGAGAAAAGAACCAUUAGGUUUGAUUUUAGCUCUUCUACAUCUAUGGUUAGUAGGAGAGAGGUGAGCCCUCAAAAUGAUGGUUGUGAACCUUUGGAGUCUCAAAAUAUGUCUAGGCUUGAAGAUGGUUCUGAUUCUCUGUCAUUUCCUGGCCAAGUUCAAAGUGGGCUCCAAGAGUUAAGUUUCUCUGCAGCAGGGUGUUUAUCAGUUUUGAUCAGUAACCCUGGGUAGAUAGCACAUUCUGGUAACAUCUCUUUGCCAUCAGACCACUAGUACUAGUUCCUUUGCCUUCACCAUGUUAAUCACUUACAAACUAUCUUUUCUAUCAUUUCCACUGUAUUGUCAGCUAACUUCUUAUUUUAAAAACUUUUCUAUCAUUUCAUCCUAACUUAAUUAGAUGUUGUUAAGUUAGUUUAUUUUUAGGACUUUGAUAGUCCCAUGUAAUGUCAACUAACCUCUUAGUUUAAAAUUGUUUCCAUUAUUUUCAUCCUAAAAUGUUGAAUAAGCUAGCGUAUCUUAUAUGUUGCACAACUUCUCCCAAGGGAAUGGAAACAUCAUGAAUAUCACGAGGCUGUCAAAAAUUGGUACAAGCACCUCCUUGAGGUUAAGUGUAUUUUCAAGUAAGAUUUUCAUAUAGAUUUAUAAAUGUUCCUUUAUAUUUUGUUUCUUGGAGAAAAAAAAAACAAAGGAAGGUACGUGUGUUCUUUUAAACUGGUAUUUCAUUGCUUGAGAAAAAACAGAGUAGGCUUGAGAAAAAAGUUGAGGUAUUUCAUUGCCCAGUUUAUAAGUAGUAAGAGGAUUGAAAAAAGGGUGCUCACAUGAAAGUCAUAUGCUUUUCAUGACUUAAUUUAAUUCAUAAGUCUCUGGAAUGGAUUUAAAAGUACACGAGCAUAACCACUUUGUCCUAGCCAUAUAUUUGUUCUGCAAUUAUUUGGGAUAUGUUCCUAGAAAGCAUACUACAAAAAUCUAGUUUAAAAGCCAUUAAGGAAAACAUGCUUAUCCCAAUUAGCUUCAUCAUCUUUCUAUGUUUGUCUCCAUCCUUUAAAAACUAUUUAAAUAAGUGUGAUUUUAUCUUUUUAAUGUUGAUGUGCCUUGUAUAAAUAGGCCUCAACCUGUCAACACUUCUCAAUGGGAAAAUGAUAGGGUUAUAUCUAUUCGAUUUAAUCCUAAAGAACCAGAUGUCUUGGUAGCUUCCAAAUCAAUUACUAGUUUCUUUAUUUACUUAUUUCUUGAUUGUUUUGGGAUAAGAAAUGAGAAAGUUAAUUGAUAAAAUAGAAAAGCAACUAUAAGAAAAGAUAGGAAGCCUUCAAAACAAAGCAACCAAGAAUAAAUUCAAUAAAAACAUAAUACAAAGCAAACAAAGGAGCCAUCCAAAACCACUUAAGGGAGAAGAUGAUCUUCUCUAAAAUUCCCAAUAUUUGACCUCUUUUUGCCAAGAAUUCAACAUCCUAAUUGGCUUACCUAGGAAUUCAACUGUAACUUACCCCUAGAAUCUCUCUCAAGUAAUGACAUACCAUUAAGAACCCUUAUUUAUUGAGGUGGCCCAAGAAUUGACCACUAAAGAAUCUACUCUCAAUAAGCAUGUGUCUGAACCCUAUGGUUCAGGCCUCUUUGAAACUAUGCAUGCAAGAAAUUAUGAUUCAAUAGACUAAGCAUUUCUCUUUGGCUUACAUAUUUCACAAUAAUCACCAGCCCUUCACUGCUACUGUAAGGUAAAUAUUACCAGAAAACCUUUUGCAUUAGGCUUGCAGUUGUACUAAUUACUAACUGAAUCUUAAUUUUGUUGCUAAUAAACUAUAGACAUUGACCAUAUAAUUUAGGAUUACUGAUUGAACUAGCUAAGUAUUCUCCCCAUCUUGAUUAUCAUGAUUCCAAUAUAAAGGAAAUAAUUCAUAGCUCAAAUUUCCCCUUUGAAUCAAUAUGCUCUACUUCAUUUUCACACUAUAGACAGUUUUUUGAUCGAAAAAAAAACUUACCCUCUAUUUUUUUUUUUUUGACCAAAAAAAAAACUAACAUAGGAAUCCUCUAUAAUAAUAAAUAAAAAUAAAAACUUAACAACAAUAGCUGAGGGGCAUGGGAUUCCCAAAAUAAGACUAGUUUGAAACCCCUCUCACAUCAAUUUCUGCCUUUAGGCUUGCUCUGACUAUGGUAGCCUAGAUGUAUGGACUUCCCAAAACAAGACUCUGGAGCACUUGAGAACCUCUCACAUAAAUUUCUGCAUCCAACCUUACCUCACCUUGGAAUUGAGUGAAAGAACAAAACCUCAAACAGUAUCUGACUAGAGCAAAUAUUUUCACAAUGCCAAUAAGAAGAAUGCUCAUUCUUGGUAACUCAAAUUCAUAGGAGUUUGAAACUUUGAAUAUAUAUAGAUGGGAAUCCAUAUGUAUAGAUAGAUAUAGAAACACACACAAAUAUGGACAUGGAAAUGUUGAAGAAUCACUCUUUCUAAUUAAGAAAUUUACAACUACUCUAUCAUUUUACAUUAAUAGCCUCCAGACAAAAUUUUGUUAUUAAAAAAACAUGCAUUAGUUAGAGGAUUUAUACCAUUUCUUUGGCUUUUAACAACUUCUCAGUGGUGGGUGAUUCAACCAUAGUUAUGUCUCAAGUUUCUUAGAAAAUUUAGGCCCUUGGAACUGGGGCAAUUGGUCGUCCUUGUCUUCUGCUGGUUCAGUUGUAUUUUGUUGAUUCAAUUAUAUUGUUAGUUUUCUUCUUUAAGAUAUGGUCAUCCCUUACGUCCUUUUUUUAUCAUUAAUUAAUGGUUUUUGUUGUUCAUGAUCAGAAAGAGAGAAGGAAAAACAAAUAAACAUGGUUUCACACAAAUACUGUUAUGUUUCUCUUAUGGAGCAUUUUAUAUGCUAAUUUUCUUAGUUGAAACCAAAAAUUAUUUGGUAGUUUUAUCAAUUUUAACGUAUUUUCCUUUUCUAAUACAAACUCUAACAUAUAUUUUCUUGUUGCAGACAAGAACUAAUUCCAUUUCUUGGAAUCCAAUGGAACCCAUGAAUUUCACAACUGUAAGCAUAAUAAUUCAACUUAUACAUUUCUCUGUUUUUCUUUUUCCCCACUUCCUGUGGUAGUUUAUCAUUUGUAUUCAAUUUGAUGAUGCACUCUCCUCUAUAGAUGGGUUGUUGCAAUUAAGAUUCAUAAUUUUCUCUCUUUCACUUUGCAUUGCCAAGAACCAAAUGAAAGAGGAAUGAUUAGUUUUAAUAUAAUAUUGUAUUGAUUCCUUCAAAGAAAUUAAGAAUCUAGUAAAACUUUGUUUCAGGAAAUUUUUGAAAGUUCUGUUUUGGAUUUAACUCUUCUAAAUUCUAAGAGUUGUUGAUUCUUGAUGUCAUUCUUUUAAAAAAAUUUCAACCAGUCCCAAGUGAGUUGGCAGAUCAAGAGCAUAGAUAUUGUGAUGCUUUUGUCAAUGACUCAUUGUUCUAUUUUUUUUUUCUCUCCUUUGGACAAAUCGCAUGAUUUUAUUAUGAUAGCACAUAAACUAUUUUAAUUAAAGCAAAUAAUAUUAGGAUGGUACAUAGCUUAGUAAUAUUGGAUUUCAACUUCUAAUGUAAUCAAUGCCAACUGCAUUUCUUUAACAACUAAGGUGCGCAUUUACUUUAUUUUUGUUCCUUUCCUUCAAGGAGACCUAUCUUUUCUUGAAGUCUAGACUAGACAUUAAUUUGACUCUAGAUAGAGUUGAAUGACAGAAAAAAAUUUGUACAAAAGACUUCAAUUUGUUAGAGUUUAAGGCUUGUUUUGCCUAGUUUAUUUAUCUAUUUAUUUGACUAGAAUUAUCAAGUUUAUUUUUUAUCUAUAAUAUUUGUAUGCAUUGAGCCAAAGUAAGAUUCAUGGAUAUUGUUUCGCUGGUCCAAUGAUGAGUACACAUCCUUGCCAUCUUUUAUACGAGACUUGUUUUAAAUAAGUCCGUUUUUUAAUGAAGAUGGAUAAUGUUGUUAGAGGGGUAAGAUGUCGAAGCCCGUUGCUGUCCAAAGACUUGAGAUUCGGAAGAUUAGAUAUGUGAAGAGAGGUAAGUGUGGAGGGCAGUAGGGACUCAUUGGGAAAUGAUUCCAUGUCUUGGCAUCCAUCAUUGAUUGUGAAUUUUGUAAGAGAGGCCAGUCUUUGCAAACCCCAGUCCACCUGAGAUGUGAGUUGGUUGCAGGAUAAAAUUGCAACUUCACGCAGGUCGGAGGGCAAACCAUCUCUCUGAAACAACAAUUCUGGACAAUCUAUUAACCUCAAUUCCUGCAACGAUGAGUGUGUGUGCGCCAGCAACUUCAGCUUCCUGCAACUGGAGAUCUUAUAGCGUGCAGACUCCAGAGCAGGCAAUUCAAUAUAUUCAAGAUCAGGGUACUCUUUGAUUUCCAAACUAUUUAGAGACGUGGGAUCCCCCUCUGAAACGGAGAUGGAGAGGAAUUCAAGCCCUUCGAAAUUAGAGAUGUAGAGAUUGUUCAACCGUGGAAAGAUGCUUAAUGAGAAAGAUAAUGAGAAAUAAUUACGGCUGCUAACAGCAAGAAUAGAUAAAUGUUCAAGGAAUGGAUACGGCAUUCCUUGGUACACUCCCGUUUGGUACACUCCCAGAUAAUUAGUGACUUCAAUGUAGUGGGUAAACCAACACUGUGCAAGGGUCUGGAGAAACGACAACUUGUGAUGCGCAAAAGUUGGAGAAGACAAGUGCUUCUUCGUAGCAUUCCCUCCUCCAAUACCCACUCUAUCGAAUCACAUUCUCUGAUUGUUAGCAUCUGUAUUCGUGGUGGCAGUUCUUCAAAUUGAGAGAUGUCUGAAAUUUCAAUUUCUGAAGUUUCGAGAUCAGUGAACCCACAAGCUGGCCUUUUCAACCGAAAUUUACCAUGAUACGACAUUUUCCAUCCACGGAUUUGAGGAGCUUGGAGGGAGCCAACAAGCAACUCACAACCAAUUAUUACAAGUUUCUUCAAUGAACGAAGCUGUUUUGGUAAUUUCCCAGUGAGUUUGGGACAUUCAUUUAUACAAAGCUCCUGAAGACGAGGGAAUUCUCCACGUCUGCAUCCACAACAUAACCAUUUCUCCCAGUUGUACAUCUUCCCGAAUCUUAGAGUUUGUAGGGACGGGAAGGAGGGCUUAAUUGUGUUGGAGGAAGAAGCAUUUCCCAUAAAAUUCAUUACCCACCAUUUUAACUCCUUUCAUUUCUAAGAUAGAAAGAUGUUUAAGAGAGGGUAGCUGUCCGAGUGGUGGCAAUGACGAGCAAUUAUUACAAUUCUGAAGCCCCAGGUCAACAAGAUUGAAGAAUGAAGGAUCCUACCCAAUCUGGAAGGCUUAAACCACUAAAAGAAUUAAUAUGGAGUCUCUUGAGGUUUGUAUGUGGCUGUAAGCUGCUGAGUAUAUCCAUUCUACUUUGCACAACACCACCAACAUCAGUGUUCUCAUAAUCCAUACUCAAACUCCAACUCAUCAAGGUACUUUUUAUCCUUCAUAUUAGCUUCUAAUGCAUCCCUAUCACAUACAACAUUCUGCAGCUUUGAAAUGACAAGACUUCCCGAAAGCUCCCUCAAUGCUCCCAAUCUUAACCCACCAUUUUGGCCCACAAUAAAUGUAGAAAGUGAUUGUAAAUUCUUUAGCUUACAUAUAUCACUUGUCAUCUCUUUCACCAAAGUUUAACGAAUAUCAAGGUAACGCAAAUUAAUCAAUUUUUCCAUCCUUGAGGGUAAUUCAACAAGACAAUGACAUCCCAAUAACAUCAAUGUUUGUAAAUUGUAUAAAUUACAAACCGAUUCAGACAACAUUUGAAUCCUUGUCAUAGAGAGAUCUAGGUAGCGCAAGUGUUUCAACUUCUCAAUUGAAUGAAGCAAAUCAGUAAUCCAAUAAUAAUUCAAGCACAACACUCGUAAACAUUUCAUUUCCGGCAAUAGAUGGUGUAGAACUCUAUUACUUAAGUAAUGAAGUGAAAAGUAUCGAUAUUUGUUUCUUGGUAAAAAUGUUCGGAGACACUUAAUUUGAGAAAGUGGAUCAAAUCUCUUAUAGACAUCAUAUUUAGUAAUCAAAUAUGAUAAAUGACGAGUUUUCUCCAAGACUCUGUAUAUCUUACCAUCCUCCAAAGAAGUAGAAAAUUCUCCGGAUACCAAUUGUGCCAAGUCAUUAACGAGGUCGUGCAUUACAAAAACAUGACUUAUUUCUUAUUGAAUUUUGGAAAAAUGACUUUGAUAGAAGUUCUUGAAAGUACAAAUUACCUACCUCUUCCAUUCUUUUCUUGUUUUUUGAUUGUUCCAACAAACCUUCUGUCAUCCAUAACAAAACUAGCUUCUCCUUUUUGAAUUUGUAGUCUUUUGGAAAGAUUGAACAAUAAGAAAAACAACGUUUUAGAUGUGAAGGAAGGUAAUAAUAACUCAACCUCAGAGCAGGAAGAACAGCAUCUGUGGGUAAAUCCCAUAAUUCACUAUUUAAUACAUCAUCCCAUUCUCUUGCUUCAACCUUGGAGUGUUGGAGACUCCCCAUUGCUUUUAUAGCCAGCGGUAGACCUUGGCACUUGUGGACAAUCUUUUCUCCGAUUGCUUCUAGUUGUGGAUGCCCACUUGAGUUUCCAUUUUCAAAUGCAAGUUUUUUGAACAGGGACCAACCAUCUUCAGAGGAUAACCCACCUAAACAACGAGUAUGGACUGCACGCAUGGCAAAUGCAACAUUGGUGCUUCGCGUAGUUACAAUAAUCUUGCUUCCCUUUGCCCCGACUAUGAGUGGAGUUUGUAGUGUAUCCCAGUCACAAGAGUCUUCGUUCCAAACAUCAUCCAGUACAAGUAAAAAAUUCUUCAUAUUAAUUCUUUCCUUCAGUUGAACCUGAAGUAGAUUUAGAUCAGUGGUAUUGGACGUGGAUGAAUUGAUUGCCUCGAGAAUUGUUUUCUUAACUCUGAUAGGAUCAAAUUCUUCGGAAACACAAACCCAUGCCUUGAUUUCGAAGUGUUCCUUCACCCUUUGGUCAUUGUAGAGCAGCUGGGCAAGUGUGGUUUUUCCCGUGCCACCCAUGCCGACUAUGGAGAUCACACCCAUCGCAUCAGUACUCCUUGCAUUAUCAGACAGCAACAGUUGAACCAUCUCCUCCUUAAUUUGAGCCCUGCCAUAGACAAGAGAUUCAUCUCCCAAAGAAGUAGAAGGCCACCUUUGUGCCAAUUUCUCACCAACGCCUUCUUUCAACCCGAGGACGUCUCUGUCUUGUGCGAUAUCGUCUAGUCUACCAAUGAUCUCCUCCACCCUAGAGUUUAUGCUUUGAAUAUCAAGUGGAGGAUGAACCCAGGUAGACAUGCUGGUCAGGGUGUCCGCAGCUUCUAUCUUGCAUCGUAGAUCUUCAGUGGCGAUCUCAUCCAAUACAUCCUCAGCAUCAUAGACAACAACUUUGAGCUCAUGCAUCCACUCUUUGACUGCUGGGUUUGUAAUUUGCUUGGCCUCCGCAUCAUUGAGCACAGCAUGGACAGUCGCAGUUUCCUCUUCAACUUCUUGAGGAGUGCAUCAUCGAGCUCGUGUCCCCUGAUGAAUUUCACCACCUCGCGAGAAGCCAACCUGUCAAAUAGAACUUGUAGAGAAGCUGAGAGAAAAGCACCUCCAACCAAAGCCGCAGCCAUGUCUGUUUCUUUGCAAAGGAAGUGAAAGGCGAAUGAGGGAAAAUGAAGGUAAGCAGAUCCAAAAUGGAACCCCCAAACCAGAAAAAGAACAAUUCAGUUGUGUAUUAAGAUCUUUUUUGGCUUUUUUAUCCUCAUAUUCUUUAUGGAUGGGGACUUGUUCCUAAACAUUUGAAGUGAACUGAUCCAUUUUUUACCAUAAUCCUUUGAAUUAAUGAUUCAUCAUGGUAGAGGUCUAGAUGGUUUCUUGAGGUGUGCUCUUUCUUUGUUAAUCUGGGGUUCUAUUUUAUCUUGUGGCAAAAUAAAACAGAUGUGUCCAACCAGUUCGGAAUUAUUUUAAUAUGACUAUCAAAUCUGUGGAUGUGCAAAAGCAUAACCAGGCUCUCCGAGUUCUUUGCCUGGAGGGUUUGCAUUUGUGCUAAACAAAAUGAUUUUUCAUAUCCCCCUAUAAUUGAUGAUCUGUUGGGAUUUGCAUAAUGUUUUGAUAGGCAAAUUAGAUAUAUGUGAAUGAGCGACCUAUCAAAUAGGGCAGUAGGGACGUAAAAUAUUGUGAUUCGAUCAAUCAUGCCUACCUUCAUAGAUACAAGAUAACAUUUCACUAUAUGAUAGAAAAUAUUAUAGAUGAUAUAAAUAAUUACAACUAUUGGAUUUCAAAAUAUUUUACGUUUCCCCACUCUUUGUAUUUUCAUCCUAAAUCAUGAGCUAUUUCACUCCAUCCGGUGUCUCCCACUUUUUCUCGUAUCUACACUCUAAACCGUAAGUCCUCUUACUCUAUCAAAUGUCUCUUACUCCUUUUCACAUCUCUAUCCAUGAUAUAUAAUCUUUGCAAACUUACUUCUAUCAUAUCUCUUCUCAUAAAUUUUUUUAACUUGAUCAUAGCCUAGAAUAUUUAGAGAGAUGCUCCUAUUUGCUUUACUUAUUCUAUAAAGAAUCUAAUUACAAUCACAUAUCAACUUAGGAAAUAUUUUAUAUAAUAUUCCUCUUUGACUGCUGGAUUUGUAAUUUGCUUCGCCUUGGCAUCAAUGAGCAUGACAUGGACAGAUAAUAGUUUUCUCUUCAACUUCUUGAGGAGUGCAUGAUUGAGCUUGUGCACCGUGAUGAAGUUGAGCAACUUGCGAGAAGCCAAGCUAUGAAAUAGAACUUGGAGAGAAGCUUAGCGAAAAGCACCUCCAACCAAAGCCCCAUCCAUGUCUGUUUCUCUGGCAAAAGGAAGUGAAAGAUGAAUCGAGGGAAGAAAAUAAGCACACCCAAGAUGAAACCUCCAAACCAGAAAAGAUCGGUUCAGGUGAAGUUUCCAAUGGUUGAAUGAAUUAUUGGACACCGUGGUAGAGCCCAGACUUCUGCAUUGUUGACAAAACAUCACAGUUCAGUGGUCCAUGAAAUGAAUACAAGGGAGAAAGAAAGAAAGAGAAAGGGGAUGUAAACAAAAGUCAGACAUGCAUAUGUGAACUUACAAAUCCUAUAUCCUUUUAUUAAUAAAACAGUUGAAAAUUUUACCAUAUUUAUAUUAAAUCAUGAUAAGAAUAAAAUGUAAAUUUAUUAAUAUUUUUAUUUUAUUAGUUCGUAAAUUAUAAUAUUUAAUUAUUAAAAAAUAUAUUAUAUGUCAAGAAAAGAAUAAGAUUUAAAAAAAAAAUUACAUGAAUAUUCAAUAUAUUCAUUUAAAAUAAUUAGUGUUAUUAAAAAAACCAUGUUUCAGGGUGAACCUAACCUAUUUUUAAUUUUUCUUUCUAGAAAAGCAUGUUUUUACACAUAAAUUCCAAAGCCAGACAACGACGUGUCUUUGAAUUUUCAAAUAAUUGGGAUCCACUGCUUUCAAUGUUUGAGAAAAUAAUAACAAAAGAUGGAGCUGCCACUUCUAAUGUCUGAGGGUAAAACAUGGAAUCGACUGCUACUUUCACAUUAAAGGGGAAAGCAAAUGGGGGCAUCGUACAUCUAAGAUCUUGUUGAAUAGUAAUCUAAAUUGUCUAUCACUCCAAAGCCGCACAUGAUGGAGGGUAUUAAAAGCAUAAUAUGCAUAUUAAAUUUAAAUCAUAAAAGUUUAAACUUUUAGAAAAAUUGGUUGUUUAACAAGGUCGAUAGCUCAAGUGGUUCUCUGUCAAUUUAAAUGAUGAGAUUGUUCAAUUUUUCAAUGGUAGGAUGAUUAGUUAAUAGUCCAAGAAGUUGAAUUGUCCAAUUGGAUUCUAUUUUCAAAACCUUGACUAUUAAGCAAUCACAUGCAAUUUCUAGAUAGAUUGUGAUUCUUGUAUUAAAGUACAAUAGAAUUGUUAGUGCAUAAAAAAUUUUUAUAUGUAGAUAUUAUCGAACAUUUUCUAACAUUUUCAAAAGUUAUUUUAAGGGAUAAAAUUCUAUUUGAAAAUGAAAAUAUGAAAAAUAGUUUUAUUGGUUUAUUUUUCAUAAAAGUACUAUAAUUCCAAAAGUUUUCAAAGUAUUUUACAUCUUUUCGAUUGUUACUCACAAUUCAAGCAUGCAUAAAAAAUAACUAAAAACAUCUUAAAUUUGUUAUAAAAACUUAUGUUUAGAAUAAAUUCUCAAAAAAAUAUUUUUUUUUCAACAAAAAAAGCUUUAUGAAAAUAAAAAGCUAUUUUCAAGAACCAUUACCAAGCAAGCCUAUGUUGCUGUGGAUGCUUUGGACAAAAUAAGAAAAAAAAGAAAAAAAGGUUUUUUUUUUAAUACUAUUUGAAAUCAUAAAAAGACCAUAACCUUGCAUACAAUAUAUGGGUCAAGGCCUUCUAAAAUAAAUAAUUUAUUUUUAUUUGGUCAUUCAUCACCAUUUUCAUUGAUUGAAAUUAUUUCGUAGACUUGGUUGUUGACUUGGGAAUUCACAUCAACCCAUAUGGACCUCAUAUUCACCUACCAGAGAUGAAUGAAAAUAAAGGCCAAAUAUGAAAGGCAAGUGGUGGUGGUAGGAAGACUCUUAUCAAUAACUUAUAUCAGGUACCGGAGCUUAGGGCAACUGUAGACCAAUGUCAUCCUGAAUCCUAUCAAUCCUUGUUACUGACUGUUGGGGUUGUCACUUAAGAAAAUAUCAAUCAAAUGAUGCAUUCGCAAAUCUAAGUCUCCAACAAGGUUCAAAUUAUUAUUAACAUCACAACCAUUAUUAAACCCAUGUGCAAGCAAGAAGGCUGCUCGUGCGGCUAGGCGUUCACAGGGUUAGCCCAAUUUGUUGAAUCUAUAGUUUAACAUACAGACAUUCGUUUCACAUCAUUUGAUGGCCCUUUAUAGAUUAUCUAUAAAUUCAGAGUACUUAGGAUUUGAAGGCCGCGAAGGGAAAAAGGAUAGUGAUAAAGAACGAACCAUUGUUGGACCUUGAGAAAUAUUUUGUGGGCACACUGUUCCAUCAUUUGGCCUCAACCAAAAUCUUCAACAUGUCAAAGCCAUGUUGUACAAAAUUCCUUACGGGUUAAUAUUUGUCGACACACUUCUGCCAUGAAUAUAUAAGCUGAUGGUAUUAGAGCUCUCCACAUUAUUGAGACAAAUGGGCUCCUGCCUUGAAACAGUUGAAUUUUCCAAGAAAAUGAAAAUUUAUCCUAGUCAAGUUCCAAUGACCCAUCCUUAUAUUUGCUUGCUCAUUUUUCCAUUUUUGCAGUUUAUUCUUUUUCUCCUUAAUUUUCUAAGCACUAAUGGAUGCUAAUCUCAAAUAACGUAAAUGCAGCAUUCUUGUUUGCCAGACAAAUCCUCAUGAGUGAGCUAGCACUAGCCAACCCUGUGGAUAUGGAAAACAUUGUAGUUAGGUGUGGCGAACAAGUCUUAGAGCUCCUGGACCGUUCUGAUGAGGCAGGAAUUGAAGAAAUUGUUGAAAAUUUUCAAGAGAUGGUGAGGAAGCCUCCAACAGCAACAAGCUUCAAGCAAGGAAAGCAGUUAUGAGCAGGAUGUUGGUGAAGAGCCUGCACCCAUGCUUGAGAGAGUACCCCAUCUUGUUUAUUUGGCGGCCAAGAGGAGUGGUGCUUGCAGGGAAUGGCCCUCAAGGAAGAAAAUUAGCAGAAAUGGCACUAUGGCGGAUGGGAGCUGUUGAUCAGACUGAUAUCUUCUUACCGGGUUUCAUUUUCAUUAAAUUAAAUAAAAUGGGGGUAAUUCAUAAUCAUCCGGUUAAGAUUGAUCUAAACCAGUGCCUUUAUCCUUUUUUUAGGUUCAUUAGGGUUCUGAAUUGAAGUAAUAAUAUUAUUGAAUCAUCAGAACUAUUUCGAUAUUUCUUUUUUGGUUCCUAUACAUGGCAUCUUUGUGAAUCCAUACGACUUUCGUUCUUCCCCAUUUCUUUGUUCCGAACCAUUCGUUUCUUUGAAUUCUUCGCUCUUUUUCUUGAUUUCAUCCCUUUUCUAUAUUCAUUCAAUUCAUAGUCAUAGACGAAACGGAAGGACUUCUAUUAGAAAAGUGGUGGCAGCUACUAUAAUAUUAGUGGCAGCAGCCCCAUGGUGUCAGUUAAUUUUCAUGGGCAAUGGUAUACAUAUCUGACUGAUAACAUGUGAUUGGUUUGACCUGAAGAAGAAUGAAGUUAAUUAUAGGGUGGAAAGAAGAAAAUAAUGAACACACCUGUACAUAGUAGUGGCUGUACAUUUAGGAUAUAAAUUAUUGCAGUGUAUGAAGAUAUUAGGAGUUACUAGAUGCAAAGUUGGUUAGAACUAUUGUGAUUGUUCAUAUAUCAAGAUGGUCUGUGUCUUUGCCACUGUCUUCCAAGGGGAGAACCAUGGGGUACUGUUUCAUUGGGAAGAAAGAUCAUUUCCAAAUUUCUAGUGAGAAAAUCAAAUUGAAAGCCUGCAGUGAAUAUCAAUAAAUUGGUCCAUGGAAGAGAAUUUGAGGCUCAUGAGUAUAUAACAAGAGGACAAGUCACUUAUUAUACCUGGAGUGCUGCCUGGCACCAUUUCUUAUGACCAUAGGCAACAACUUUAAAGUUAAUUUGUGUAUAAGGACAUUUGAGACCAAUCUUAAUAUUAAAGAACAAGAUGUUGAACAUCAACAUCUGUCAAGGAUCGGAGUUCAGGGCAAGUAGAUAUGUCCUUAAAGGAUCAGUUAGAUUUCAAUCACAACUGACCUGAAAUUGGCUAGAUCAACACAUAUUUAGAGGUGCUUUGACUUCUUCUAUGUCCCUGCCUUAUAGGGAAGAAAAUAUUUAAAAAUCCACAUAAUCAUUGGUAAGUACAAGAAGACAUUCAACAGACAAAGAUUUUGAAUUUGAGGAACCAAUCUGUCUCUAGAAAAGUAAGGGGAGAAAAAACACUGAUAAACAAAUUUUACAUACCCUUUCCAGAGCAACAAAUCCCCUAAGUUGUAAGUUGAAUCCCACCAACCAGAAAAUCCCCUUGUUCGUCCACUUUAAAGAUCUAGCACGUACACACAUCAAGACUAUUAUAAGAUGCUAGUUUCCCAACAGUUUUUUGUAUCAUGAAGCUCUGAACCAUCUCAACCAAAAGGAUAUUCAUCAAUCUAAGGACAUCCAUCAAUCUAAUAGUUCAUCAUUAUUUGCAAAACACAGCUUUGCAUGAAACAAUGACACCAAACAAUAAAGAGAAAAGGACUACUGAGUCAGACAUCUGUUUUCCAUUGGAGGGGGUGCCUGACUCAAGAAGAUGGAGUUAAAGCGUGAUUGGAAUUGGAAAGGUCAUAACCACCUGAAAGAAAAUAAUCACGAAGACAUGGACAGAUGCACAUAAAAUGUGUGUAUCCAUCAACAAAUGGUUAAUUGAAAGGAAGACAUUAUUUUAAAACCAAAAGAAUUUUGGGUUUCUUAGCUUUGGUAGUAGCAUACCCGCCAUCUUCUUGUUUAAUACAAAUCAUGUUCCUAGCACUAAAACAGGAGCAUCUUCAGGCGCCUUUGCAGAAGCUUUCAGCACCAGUUAAUGAAGGUGACUCAUGAGGGAUGAUCAAAGGGCUGGCUGAGAUAUCUGAAACAGAAGACAUGUUUAUUAUUUGUCUGUGAAUAACUAGUCAGAGGCAUGUUUCGGUAUCAUUUGGGGUAUAAGUGAAUGGAUUUCAUUUUUCACCUUUAAUUUUCUAUUUCUUAUUUAUUAUAUGCUGUGACUUGUGAUGAUGAUGACUCCUAUUGUCUUUAAUUGCUUAAUCCUUCAUGACCCAUAAGCAAAAGUACAUAGUUAUUGCGGGACAAGGAAACAAGGAAAAAGAUGGUGUGAUCCCUGUAAUUCAUCACUAACAGAGUUCUGGAAAUUCCAAUUCAAGUAAUAUUUGAUCAUAUCUUGCAUAUUAGGUACUCUAACUAAGAACUUCAAUGAGAGCCAAGACUUCCUCCAAUGAGAAGAACAGGAACAUUGUCAAUUCUAAGAAAAGGAUCCUGUUUUUGAGUGGGGUACAUGACAGUGAUCUAAGUGAUCAUCCCAACAGCAACACAACGUAUACAGAAGACAUAAGAAAAACCAAAACAAGAACAAAAUGAAAUCAAAAUUAGGAAAGAAAUAAAUGCAGUAAAAUCAUAACAAAGAUGCUAUAUUCCUGUAUCCUUGCCUUUCAAAUGUGGCUAACUGCUGAUCUCUCCCUUUAUGCAAGCAGAAGCACAGUAAACACCAUCUCUGGUAAAAUGCUGACUGCAAAACCAAAACAGAGCAACCUCAGUCAAACAUGACCUAACUUAACCAAUUAAACACCAUCUUCUACUUUCCAUCUCCCUGUUCAAUACCAGUUAAGCUCUCAGGCACUAAAAGAGCAGCAUCUUCCUCACUCCACCUUCCAUCCCCAACAACCUUUGAAAUAAUUUUAUUACAAAUUAAAGCAACAAAUGCCUUAGUUAUCGAAAAGUAUAAGCCCAAAGAAAACAUACCUGUUACUUUCUGGUGGGUAUAAGAUAUCACACAUUUCAGCCUCAUACAACCUACAAAGUGAUGUAAGAACAACUUGUAAUUUGCAGAUUACAAAGAGAGUCUCCCCUGUUGUACCCUCAGAAAAUGGACCAAAGAAAUUAAAAUAUUUCUCUAACCAUAAAUUAGCUAAAAAAAAUGCACCCAUGCACCAGAUGUCACACACAACUGACCUGAACUUGGCAAGAUUGAAAUGGAAUAGUUCCCAAUGACCAGAAUUAAGAGGUGCUUUGAAGUCUUUCUUCUACAAAUACAAGAAGACCUCAAUAUGUUGUAUCAUGACAAUGUACGAGUGAAGGAAGGGGGCACAGUAGAAGAUGGUGGCAUCAAGUCAAAGGAUGAAAUUUGAGUUUGAGGCACUGGGCCAUUCCAGAUCAACACAAAUUGGACUUAAAAUAGAGACCAAAAGAAAUUGAAUGAUAGGCUUUUUGGAGGGAUCCCUUAUUCUAAUUUCAUAAAUUCUUAUAUUCUAAUUCUGUUUCAAAAUCAGAAAUGUAAAAUAAAUUCAUUUAAAUUAUUUAUAGUCACUUGAUAUAUUUCUCCUUAUCAAAACAAAAAUGUGUUUCUCAUAAGAAAUCUUUCAUGUUCUUCCUAGAUACUUAAUAUGAGACGGGAGAGGAGAAACGGUGAUUAACUUGAUAUGGAAGGGAGAAAAGAUACAAUAUCUUGAUUCUAAUUCAACUCCUUUGAAAAAAUAACUUGCAAAAGGCUCCAAAUAAACACCCAUAUAAUUCUAAAUUGUUUUCAUGCAAUGGUUAGAUCUAGAGUGUAUUUGUGAUGCAGGUAAAAUUCCAAGCACAUUUGACCAGAGAUACAAAUAGGCAAUACCUAAGGUAUUUGAAGAUGUACUAGUGUUUAAAUCACUGAUAUUCCAAAGCAAAUACAUAAACCUGCAAAACCUUUUUAGUCUUAAUAUUCAUGUAACUUAGAGGCCAAACAAGGUUAAUAAUGUCAUCAAAUUAAAUCUUUGGUAAUGGUACCUUUUUGUUAGGCAUUGCCUUACAAUAUGGAAAUGUUGCAAUUGUCCUUACAAAAUUGGCCUUUUAAGCGAAAAAUACACCAGCCUCAUAGCACCUGUAGAAUGAUGUGUAAAUGAUUGUAAGUAUGGCAGAAAGUUAAAUCUCCAUUUUUAAGGAUGGAAAAGGGAUCAACAAGUACAAAUCUAAAGUAGGCCACAAAAAAGAAAUAAAGAAAUUAAAAUGUUUAACUGACCAUAAACUACCAGAAAUUCCUCCAUGUUUGCCUGUAUCACAGAAAUAUAUGGAUAAAUUCAGGAAUCACCUCUGCCCAUUAUAAAGGUAAAUUGACCAAGCCAUUGAAAUAUUUCACUCAUCUAUGUUAAAAUGCAAGCACCUAUUGUCAGUCUUCCUCCACACCUCUUCACUUCUUUGUUUUCAGGCUUGUAGCAUAAGAGAAAAUAUCUGAAGUCAAAGGGCAGAAUUCUGCACCCUCAAAUCUCCAACAACAGGGCAGGAAAUAUUGACGCAGGGCAUAUUGUAAAUUUCCAAUGGAAUAGUCUCAGAUGUGUGUGUUUGCUUCUGCCUUUCCAGGGGGAGACUCAUGAAAUAUUGUUUGAUUGGAAAGAUCAUAGUCAUAUAUCAAGAACACAAGUCUCUGAUACGUGGAGGGCUACUUGGCACCUUGUCUGUCUCACCAUAGGCAAUGGAAUCUUACAAGUUUGUGUAUAAGGAGACUUGUGUUAACCUGAGAAACAUCAAUAUGUUACCACAAUAGAAAUGAUUAGAAAUUCAGACGCACAAGUUUGGCUACUUUAAUAAAUUGGCACGUCAGUGUUUCUUUUUUUUUUGGAGUGUAGGACAAGUACCUGACUGACUGUAUGGCACACCCAAGUCUUAAUGUAUGUGGAAUCACCACCUUCAUUAGUCACUAGUAUAGCACACGAUCUAUUACUAUGCGUGGAAUGUGAGCUAUAUAUUCCCAAUCUUGGCCUUUCUCAAAUUGGCACCUAUGCCUCAACAAAGGACAACUCUGGAUUUCCAGGAAAGAGAGCGAGUUUGGCAGUCUCUCGUUUGUCAAGUAUUGGAGAUUAUGGUAGCGGGAGAUAGACAAUGCUUUAAGAGAGGUGAGGUGUUGAAGACCUACUUCUCUCAAGGAUUCAAGCAUAGGGAGUGAGUACAUCUGUAAAUUUUCAAGAGAGGUAAGAUGUUGAAGCCCCUCUUCUCCGAAGGAUUGGAACUUAGGGCACUUGGAGAUGUAUAAUGUUGAUAGAGAGGUAAGAUGUCGAAGCCCGUUGCUGUCCAGAGACUUGAGAUUUGGAAGAUUAGAUAUGUAAAGAGAGGUAAGUGUGGAGGGCAGUAGGGACUCAUUGGGAAAUGAUUCCAUGUCUCGGCAUCCAUCAUUGAUUGUGAAUAUUGUAAGAGAGGCCAGUCUUUGCAAACCCCAAUCCACCUGAGAUGUGAGUUGGUUGCAGGAUGAAAUUUCAAGAUCACGUAGGUCGGAGGGCAAACCAUCUCUCUGAAACAACAAUUCUGGACAAUCUAUUAACCGCAAUUCCUGCAACGAUGAGUGUGUAUGCGCCAGCAACUUCAGCUUCCUACAUCUGGAGAUCUCAUAGCGUGCAGACUCGAGAGCGGGCAAUUCAAUAUAUAUCAGAUCAGGACAGUCUUCGAUAGUUAAAUAAUUAAGAGACGUGGGAUCCCUCUCAGAAACGGAGAUGGAGAGGAAUUCAAACCCUUCAAAAUCAGAGAUGUUGAGACUGUUCAACCGUGGGAAGAUGCUUAAUGAGAAAGAUAAUGAGAAAGAAUUACAGCUGCUAACAUCAGAAAUGGAUAAACGUUUAAGGAAUGGAUGGUGAGAUCUCAAUAGCGCAUGCAGGAGAAACUCCAGUUUGGUACACUUACAGAUAUGGAGUGACUUCAAUGUAGUGGGCAAACCAACACUGUGCAAGGGUCUGGAGAAACGACAACUUGUGAUGUGCAAAUGUUGGAGAAGACAUGUGCUUCUUUGUAGCAUCCCCUCCUCCAAUACCCACUCUAUCGAAUCACAUUCUCUGAUUGUUAGUAUCUGUAUUCGUGGUGGCAGUUCCUCCCAUUGAGAGAUGUGUGAAAUUUCAAUUUCUGAAGUCUGGAGAUUAGUGAACCCACAAGCUGUCCUUUUCAACCGAAAUUUACCAUGAUACGACAUUUUCCAUUCACGGAUUCGAGGAGCUCGGAGGGAGCCCAAAAGCAACUCACAAUCAAUGAUUUCAAGUUUCUUCAAUGAACGAAGCUGUUUUGGUAAUUUCCCAAUGAGUUUGGGACAUUCAUUUAUACAAAGCUUCUGAAGACGAGGGAAUUCUCCACGUCUGCAUCCACAACAUAACCAUUUCUCCCAGUUGUACAUCCUCUCGAACCUUAGAGUUUGUAGGGACGGGAAGGAGGGCUUAAUUGUGUUGGAGGAAGAAGCAUUCCCAUAAAAUUCACUACCCACCAUUUUAACUCCUUUCAUUUGUAAGAUAGAAAGAUGUUUAAGAGAGGGUAGCUGCCCGAGUGGUGGCAAUGACGAGCAAUUGUUACAAUUCUGAAGCCCCAGGUCAACAAGAUUGAAGAAUGAAGGAUCUCCUACCCAAACUGGAAAGCUUAAACCACUAAAAGAAUUAAUAUGGAGUCUCUUGACGUUUGUAUGUGGCUGUAAGCUGCUGAGUAUAUCCCUUCUAUUUUGCACAACACCAACAUCAGUGUUCUCAUUAUCCCACUCAAACUUCAACUCAUCAAGGUACUUUUUAUCCUUCAUAUUGGCUUCUAAUGCAUCCUCAUCACAUGCUACAUUCUCUAGCUUUGAAAGGACAAGACUUCCUGAAAGUUCCCUCAAUGCUCCCAAACUUAACCCACCAUUUUGGCCCACAAUAAAUGUAGAAAGGGAUUGUAAAUUCUUUAGCUUACAUAUAUCACUUGGCAUCUCUUUCACCCCGGUACCAAUAAUAUCAAGGUAACGCAAAUUAAUCAAUUUUUCCAUCCUUAAAGGUAAUUCAAUGAGAAGCACACAAUUUGAUAACAUCAUUGUUUGUAAAUUGUAUAAAUUACAAACUGAUUUAGGCAACUUUUGAAUCAUUGUCGUAGAGAGAUCCAAGUAGCGCAAGUGUUUCAACUUCUCAAUCGAAUGAGGCAAAUCAGUAAUACGAUAAUUAUUCAAACACAACACUCGUAAACAUUUCAUUUCCGGCAAUAGAUGGUGUAGAACUCUAUUACUUAAGUAUUGAUAUGCAAGGUGCCAAUAUUCGCCUCUUGCUAAAAAUGUUCGGAGAUACUUAAUUUGAGAAAGUGGGUCAAAUCUCUCAUAUACAUCAUAUGGACUAAUCAAAUACGAUAAAUGAUGAGUCUUCUCUGAGACUUUGUCCAUCUUACCAUCCUCCAAAGAAAUAGAAAAUUCUCCGGAUACCAAUUGUGCCAAGUCCUUAACAAGGUCAUGCAUUACAAAACAUGACUCAUUGCUAAUUGAAUUUUGAAAAAAUGACUUUGAUAAAAGUUCUUGAAAGUACAAAUUGCCUACCUCCUCCAUUCUUUUCUUGCUUUUUGAUUGUUCCAACAAACCUUCUGCCAUCCAUAACAAAACAAGCUUCUUCUUUUUGAAUUCGUAGUUUUUGGGAAAGAUUGAACAAUAAGAAAAACAACAUUUUAGAUGUGAAGGCAGGUAAUAAUAACUCAACCUCAGAGCAGGAAGAACCGCAUCUGUGGGCAAAUCCCAUAAUUCACUGUUUAAUACAUCAUCCCAUUCUCUUGCUUCAACCUUGGAGUGUAAGAGACUCCCCAUUGCUUUUAUAGCCAGCGGUAGACCUUGGCACUUGUGGACAAUCUUUUCUCCGAUUGCUUCUAGUUGUGGAUGCCCACUUGAGUCUCCAUUUUCAAAUGCAAGUUUUUUGAACAGGGACCAACCAUCUUCAAAGGAUAACCCACCUAAACAAUGAGUAUGGACUGCACGCAUGGCAGAUGCAACCUUGGUGCUUCGCGUAGUUACAAUAAUCUUGCUUCCCUUUGCCCCGACUAUGAGUGGAGUUCGUAGCGCAUCCCAGUCACAAGAGUCUUCGUUCCAAACAUCAUCUAGGACAAGUAGAGAUUUCUUCAUAUUAAUUCUCUCCUUCAGUUGAACCUGAAGUAGAUUUAGAUCAGUGGUAUUGGACGUGGAUGAAUUGAUUGCCUCGAGAAUUGUUUUCGUAACUCUGAUAGGAUCAAAUUCUUCGGAAACACAAACCCAUGCCUUGAGAUCGAAGUGUUUCUUCACCCUUUGGUCAUUGUAGAGCAGCUGGGCAAGUGUGGUUUUGCCUGUGCCACCCAUGCCGACUAUGGAGAUCACACCCAUGGCAUCAGUACUCCUUGCAUUAUCAGACAGCAACAGUUGAACCAUCUUCUCCUUAAUUUGAUCCCUGCCAUAGACAAGAGAUUCAUCUACCAAAGAAGUAGAAGGCCACCUUUGUGCCAAUUUCUCACCAACGCCUUCUUUCAACCCGAGGACGUCUCUGUCUCGUGCCAUAUCUUCUAGUCUAUCAAUGAUCUCCUCCACCCUAGACUCUAUGCCCCGACCAUCAAAUGGAGCGAGAACCCACGUUGACAUGUCCAUGAUGUUACCCACCUGACUUGUGCUGGUUUGGGACUCCGCAGCCUCCACCUUGUGUCGCAAAGCCUCUGUGGCGAUCUCAUCCAAUAUGUCCUCCGCAUCAUACACGACCUCUUUAAGCAAGACCAGCCACUUCUUCACAUAUGGAUUUGUAAACUGUUUGACCUCAGCAUCGUUGAGCACUGCAUGGACGACCAACAACUUCCUUUCCAACUUCUUCAGGAGCACAUCGCUGAGCUUCUGCCCCCGGAUGAAGCUCACAACCUCGCGAGAAGCCAACCUGUCAAAUAGAACUUGGAGAGAAGCUGAGAGAAACGCACCUCCAACUAAAGCCCCUGCCAUUUCUGUUUCUCUUGCAAAGGAAGUGAACGAUGAAUUGAGGGAAGAAGAAAUUACGCAGACCCAAAAUGAAACCUCCAAACCAGAAAAAGAUAGGUUUGUAUAGAGAAAAUGCAACUUGUUGGUAGUAAAAUAACUUUGGAUUCCAAGGUACUUUCGUGGAAGACCCCGUACGUCUGCUUUCUGCCAACAUCAUUGGUCAAUGAUUAAUAGUAUUGUUUCACUGGGCUUUUUUAAUGGUUGGAAAUGAUUUUCAUCCAUUGAGGUGCAAAUUAUAAUUAAUAGACUUGACAUUCACCAUGGUUAUCUUCAAUUUCUUUAGUGGAUUUGAAUACUAAUUCAUGGUGUGGGUCUUUUUUUAUUCUUUAUAAAAUUAUAAUAAAAAUGAUAACAUUUACCGUCCAAGGAUACAAUAUUUUUUAAAUUUCUUUUAUUUGGAUUUUCAAACAUAUACAAUUCAAAGGACAAAAGUAUGGAUGAAUGCACCUUUAAAAAUUCAUCUUAUUGAUAUGAAUCCAAAGGGACACUAGUUUGUAUAUAAGUAUAAAAAACAACUCAAUGCAUACACGAAAGGCACUAUUGGGCCAAAAUUCAAAGAAACAAGAGGAAACAAAUUGGCAAUGGCUUCUAUUAUGGAGAAUGGGAUCUAUGGGAUUUGGGUCAAUGAAUUUCAGAUGGACCCCGGGAAGCCAGGAAGCCUUCUUCACGCUUCCAAUUUUAUAUGAAUUUCCAUUAAAAGCAUUAUGGCCAGUUUGUUUUAAUGUGUUGACAGUCAAAGCAUGUGCCUUGUAACAUUGCGCAGAAUAUAAUAUUUUUCAUUCAGACUGUUCACAACUUGCUAAAAUCAAGAUCUGAUCUCAUACUCUCUCUUAUCUUUUAUUUUAUAAGUAUGAAAUCCAACCCUAUUAUAUUUAAAAUGGGGAGGUUCAAAUAAGUUGAUUGCCACCUUGUAGGUAUGUGACAUGCUAUGAUUGCCACCUGUAAAGAUUCGCCGUCUACUCAUGUACUCAACUGUGACCAAAGAUUCUUGAAGACACUUUUAAAACUUGUAAACGCAUUCAUCAAAAAGUUUAGCAUCUCACAAACCUUUAAAAAACCAAAAAAAAAAUGAUUUCUUUAAAACAGAAUUUCUACAAUGUAAUUAGAUUCUCAAAUUAAUCUCUUAUCUAUGUGAAUACCAAUGUCAUAAAAUGAUAAUCGGUAACUACGAUUUUAAUUUUUUUUUUAAAUGGUUAAAACCAUAAUUGAUAACUAUUGUUUUAAGAUUAAAUUGGAAGAGAUAUUCACCAACUAGGUUUUAUAUAUGUUUUAAAAAAAUUUUAAAGCCUUAGUAAUUAUGGUUUUGUGACAAAAAAAAAUUAAAAAUUAAAAAUUCUCUUGCAAUACGGAUACAUUAGUUUGGGAGCUAUUUUGUUCGAAGGUUUAGUUUGGGAUUUUUUUUAAAAUACAUUAUUUUUGCUCAAAACUCAAAAAUUCAUUUAAAGCGAUUUUUGGAUUAACAUUUGAUAAAGAAUUUUUUAAUUAUUUUUUUGCUAUUAAAAAUACUUUCAAGAUGCUUUUAUAUAUAUAUAUAUAUAUAUUUGAUUCUUAAUAAAAACAUUUAUGAUAUACAUAUUAGGUAAAGUGUUACAAAGACUAGUUUGUUGGUUAUUUGGAAGGACAUUUUGUAUAACAAAGGUGUUUAUGCCUGUUACACUAUAACAAUGUAUUAAUGAAUUAUUCAACUUUGGAUUUCAUUAUUGUGGUGGAUUUGUUUAACAAACUUUAUAAAUCAGUGGACAUUAAAUAAUUUUUUUUUUUUGUCAAAAAAACAAAAUAAAAGCAAAGAGCACCAAGUGGUAAUUAAAUAAUUAAAUAAAUUAAAAGAAAAAUAAAAAGAAGAUAAAAGAAUAGAUAAAGAGCUAAAACUUGUCCUUUACCCAAUUUAAAAUUAUAAUUUAAGUAGAUUCUUAUUUGAAAAAUCAUAACAAAUAUUGAAUUUUCAACUAAUAAUUAAACUUGUCGAAGACAUAAAAAAUUUUAAUAGAUUAAAUUGUGAUUAAAUUAGUCUUCAGAAUCAUAAUUUUUUAAUUCAACAAAAAUUGGGCUUAAAUGGAAUGGGUCAUAUAUAUUAGACACGUAACAUGUAAUUAAAAGAUGACAUGUAAUGAAGUUCAGAGGGUUAUAAAAUUAAAUUUUGUAUAGAAGAGAAUUAUAAAUAAAUAUUCUUUUGUUGAGAAAUUCCCUAAAUAAGGAAAUGAAUUUUCCAAUUGUAGUGAAAAAGGAAUUAGAAAUAAAUGUUUAUGACAGAAAUACCAGUAAAAAGUGUAAUAAGAGUAAGUAUUUAGUUAUUUGAAAGGGCAAUUAGUAUAAAAAGGGGUGAUUAUGUUUGUUUAAUGAUUGCAACAUAAAAUUGAAUUAUUGAACUUUGGGUUCCAUUAUUGUGGUGGGUUCAGUGGACUUUAAAUAAAGUUGAUAAAGGAUUUGAGACACUAGGGCAACAAUAUUUUGUCAAACAAAAAAUAAAGAUCGAGGUUAGUUUAGCUUAUCAAAGAAAAAAAAGACUAAUACGGUGUUUGGUUUUUUGGCUGAAUAAAAAAAGCCAAAUAUUUGGCUUUUUCUAUUCAGCCAAAAAACAAACACCACCUUAGUUAGACAUCAGUUUUCCAUUGAAGGUGGUACCCUAAGAAGAUGGAAUUAAAAAGUGAUUUGAGUUUGAUGCUUUACUUCUUGGUGACAUGAUUCUAAAUUUUCAGGUGCACAAAGACAUUUUUAGAUAUAAGCACUACCUAUCAAAAAAUGUUUAAACCUAUGCCAUUCAUAAAUUAUGAUCCCUCCUAUGUGUCGUUACCGUGCUCAAGAAAACCAUUACUACCCUACUUCCUUUCGCUACCACCAUCCUUAAUAUUUCGAAAUUCUAUCCCAUAUUUUACAAGUAAACAGACCAAUUCCACAUGCUUUCUCACAUUAGUCUGAAUCAUCAACCACUGAAAAGUGAUUAACAUCAAUGAAUCAAAUGUUUAUACAGAAAAAAAAUCUAAUAACCAAUUUAAGAGCAUAACAAUAAACAAUUUGUUCUAAAGGGUACAGAGGAAAUCACAAUUCACCAAUAUGAAUAUGAAAAACAAUAGCAACGCAUCCUCUGCACUUUCAACACUCUUUCCCUCGCAGAGAAACUGAAUGCAAUAAAAUCACAGUAAAGCCACAAGCUUACACAUCAAGAAAAUGUGCAUAAGAAUGUAUGCAUCCAUUAAAAAAAUGUUAGCUUCAAAGUAAGAUAUCAUUUUGCCACCAAAAAGACUUCAAGUUUCUUAGCUUUGAUAGGUGUGUUAGAAUUAGAAGCUGGAUUUGCAGCUGCUGCAACCUUGGUGGCCUCCCGCGCUCUCUCUUAUCAAGCUGAACCAGGCUCGUGUGGCCAAAAUUGCCAAUGGAAGCAAAUCGUGAGAAGCCCUGGCAUACAAACACCUCACUGCCACUGAUGUGGCAUCUUUCACAUCUUGAAAAUUGUGAGGAGCCAACAGACAGUGGCCAAUAAUUUGCUAUGUGGGCUGCAAAAGCUCCCAAGGCAGUGAUCUGAGUGAUCAUCCCAACAGCAACACUAUGUAAGGGUACAUGACAGUGAUCUACGUGAUCAUCCCAAUGGCAACACUACGUAUAUAGAAGACUUAAGAAAAACCAAAGCAAGAACAAGAUGACAUAAGAAUUAGGAAAGAAACAAAUGCAGCAAAUGCAUAAAAAAUAUGUUAUAUUCCUAUAUCCUUGCCUGUUAACUGUGGACUAAUCGGUGAGCUCUCCCUGUAUGCUAGCAGAACAGAGCAACCGCAAUCAAGUAUGAUCUGACUUAACCAAUUCAGUACCAGAAACAUAGAAGAAAUUGUAGUAGUGUACUUGCCAUCUCCCUAUUUGAUGCAAGUUAAAGUUUUCAGGCAUUGAAAGAGCAGCAAUCUUCCUCCCUCCAUCUUCCAUCCCCAACAACCUUUGAAAUAAUUUUAUUACAAAUUAAAGCAACAAAUGCCUUAGUUAUUGAAAAGUAUAAGCCCAAAGAAAACAUGCUUGUUUCUUUUUGGUUACGUAUAAGUUAUCACACAUUUCAAUCUCAUACAACCUACAAAAUGAUGUAUGAACAACUUGUAAUUUGCAGAUUAAAAAGAGUCUCCCCUGUUGUGCCCUCAGAAAAUGGACUGAUGCAGUAAAUGUUGAUAGAUUAGUCUAUGGAACAUAAUUAGAGCCUCAUGAGUAUAUACAAUAAGACAAGUCACAUAUUAUACCCGGAGAGCUGAUUGGCACGGUGUUAUGACCAUAGGCAAUGACAUCUUAAAAAGUUUGUGUAUAGGGAGACUUGAUACCAAAACCAACAAUCCAAUCUUAGUCUUGAAGUACAAGAUGUUGAAGAUCCACUUUUGUCAAGGAUGGAGCUUAGUUGGCAAGAUUGAAAUGAAACAAUUCCCAAUGACUAGAACUUAGAGGCGCUUUGACUUCUACAAAUAGAAGAAGACCUAAAUAUGUUGUAUCAUGACAAUGUAAGGGUGAAGGAAGGGCGCAAAGUAGAAGACAGUGGCAUCAAGCCAUUCCAAAUCAACACAAAUAGGACUUAAAAUAUUAACCAAAACAAAUUGAAUAAUAGGCUCUUUGGAGGAUCCCUUUUUUUAAUUUCAUAAAUUCUCAUAUUCUAAUUCUAUUUCAAAUAAGUCACAAAAAUAAAACUUGAAAACAAAUCAAUAAAUAUUCUUAUAGGGUUUAAGACAUUUUUAAAACUUGAAAACGCAUUCACUAAAAAAUAAAGCAUCAAACCAAGCUUUAAAAAAAAUUUAAAAAUCAAAGUUUUAGGCAAAAAUGAUUUCUUUAAAACAAAAAUUCCACAAAGUAAUUUGAUUCUCAAAAUCAUUUAUAAAUUAGUGUGUCAUAAAACUAUAGUUUUAAUAUUUUUUUUAAAAUGGUCAAAAUUGUAGUUGGUGAUUAUGAUUUUAAACUUAAAUUUAAAAUCAUGAUCAUUAACUACGGUUUUAUAUAUGUUUAAAAAAUUUUCAAAAUUAGUAAAUACAGUUUUGUGACUAAAAAAAAAAAAAGUUCUUAGGCCUUGUGGAUAUUUAAGUAGCUAAGAUGCGUUAGUUUGAGAAUUAUUUUGGUAAGAGGUUUAGUUUGAGAUUUUAUUUUUAUUUUUUAAGAUAUAGUAUUUUUGCUCAAAAUUCAAAAAGUCAUUUAAAGUGAUUUUUGAAUUAAUAUUUGAUAAACAUUUCUUUUAAAAAAUAUUUUUUUGUUAUUAAAAAUACUUUCAAGGUGCUUUUUUUCUUAUUUAUAUUCAAAAUAUUAAUUUUGAUUCUUAAUAAAAAUAUUUAUGAUAGAAAUAUUAGGUACAAGUAUUGCAAAGUGUAGUUUGUUGGUUAUUUGAAAGGACAUUAUAUAUAACAAGGUGUUCAUACUUAUUGUAUUAUUGAAUUAUUGAACUUUGGAUUUCAUUAGUGCGGUGGAUUUGUUUAACAAACAUUAGAAAUCAAUGGACAUUAUGUUGUGAAAAUCAUGAAAAAGAAUAAUAAUAGGGAGAAAAGAAUAAGAAAAAGGAUAACAAAACACACAACGAUUUAUGUGGUUCGACCUUAAGCCUACAUUCACGGGCGAAAACGAAGAACUUUUACCAUGGUUUUAGAAUACCGGAUUGGACCGGCUGAUCCGACUGCCGACUGGUCACUGUUCUGGUCCGGUCCAACCAAUUGGACUGGAAUGGUAUUGAACCGAAGUCGGACCGAACCAGCGGUCCAACCGGUAAACCGGACGAAUCUGCCGGUUCGGAUAUUCGAUUAAAAUUAUUUUUUUCCUCCCAUUGUUGUUGUCCCUCGUUGGCAACACCCCUGUGCUAGAAAAACUUCCCCUUUUUGCCCAUCGAAACCCACCCCCGCGCUAGAAACCCCAUUUUUCCAUGACCCCGUUGGAACCUCCGCCCCCAUCCCCGCUGGAAAAGCUUUCAUUUUUUGCCCUUUGGAACACCCCCACACGACUCCCAGGAACCCCCACCCACACCCUGUGCCGAAAAAGCCAACCCCCUUCUUCCUUCCCCCCAAACCCUCCUCUUAGCAACCCCCACUGGAACCCCCACAUUGGAAAAAGUAUUCCCUUUUUGCCUGACCCUCUCAUCCCUUAUUCCAGGUUGUUUUAUUUUUUUUAAUUAUUUUUUAUCUCAUCUCUAUAUUAUUUAUUUAUUUUUAAAUUUAUUAUUAUUUUACUUCAUGUUUAAAACUUAUGAUUUUAAUUUAAAUUAAUAAAAAAAUUACCAGCUUAAAUCAAUUUCUGAUUUUAAAAUAAGUUUUUUAAUUUAAAAAUGGAUUUUAAAUUUUAAAUUUGAAACUAAUUUUUUGAUUUUCAAAUAAAAUUUUAAUUUUUAAAUAAUGUAUAAAUUAUUAUUUUUAUUUUUAUAAUUAUUUUAAAUUUUAAUAAUUUAUAAAUUAUAUAUUUAUGACGUCAUCGGUUCGAUCGCAGUUCGAUUGUCGGUUCGACCAGUGAACCGUGAACCGAUAACUUUUCCGGUUCUGAAAACAUUGACUUUUACUAUUGUUAAAGGAUAUUACAACUCUUAAAACUCUCAAAUCCUAAAACCCCAAUUUAUACCUAAAAAAAGACUUACUAUUUUGGUCAAAAAUCUCUUCCUAUAUUUUUUCCUAAUUACAAAAGAAGUUUCUAUAUAGGAAACAAAGUGUAUAAUUGUCAAAGAUACCUUUUCCUAAAUAGAAGAUUUCAUAUUAGGAUAUUUCCUAUAAUAAUAGGAAACCCACUUUCAAGAAUAUUUUCUAUUAGGAAACUAUCAAUAACUUUCCAAAUUGACUCAAAAUACAAUUUGAGACACUUUCCAACAAUCUCCAUCUUGGCUCAAAUUCCCAAGAUUAAAAUAAACUUGAAAGUCUUCAAGUUACUUCUCUCCCACAUCCUAUAGGGGUCUUCAGAUACUACUAACACCAAUUAAGUCAAAGCAAUGCUUGAACUUAAUUAUAGGAAUAGACUUAGUCUUCAUAUUUGCAGGAUUGUCCAUUGUAGGGAUUUUUUUUUCAUUACAAUAGCACCAUGUGCAGUCAUAUCCCUAAUAAAAUGCAUUCUGACAUCAAUAUAUUUGGUCCUCUCAUGGAACAUCUAAUUUUUAGUCAAAUGUAUGACACUUUGGCUAUCACAAUACACAACAAUCAACUCUUGUUGUAAGUCUAAAUCACCAACCAAACCUUUAAGCCAAACAACUUUUUUCACUGCUUCUGUGGCUACCAUGUAUUCUACUUCAGUGGUUAACAAAGCAACUAUAGAUUGUAAAGUUGCUUUCCAACUAAUAAUACUACCACAUAAAGUAAAUACAUACCCUGUUAGAGAUUUUCUUUUAUCCCAAUCUUCAUCAUAAUCAAAAUCAACAUAACCAACAAUUUCCCCAAAGAUGUCAAUAUUUUUAUCAUAUACUAAGCCAACAUGUGUGUUCCUCUCAAGUAUCGAAGUAUCCAUUUCACUACUUGCCAAUGGAUAUUUCCAGGGUGAUCCAUAUAUCUACUCACCACACUAACUGCAUGUGAAAUAUCUAGCCUAGUGCAAACCAUGACAUAUAUAAUGCUCCAAACUACACUAGCAUAAGGAACAUGUGACAUGUACUCUCUCUCUUCUUUAGUUUGUGGUAAUAAAGCACUAGAAAGUUUGAAGUGAGCUAUGAAUGGAGUACUCACUAGUUUUGAACCUUGCAUUCCAAAGUGUUUUAAUAUUUUCUCAAUGUACUUUUUAUGUGACAAGUACAAUUUUCCUUCUUUUUAGUCCCUAUGGAUCUCCAUAUCCAAUAUUUUCUUCAUAGCUCUAACGUCUUUUAGUUCAAACUCUUCUUGACGUUAAGUUUUCAAACUGUUGAUCUCAGACAUAUUCUUGCAGGCAAUUAACAUGUCAUCAACAUAUAACAAUAAAUAAAUGAAAGAACCAUCAAACAAUUACUUCUGACAAACACAAUUAUUAUACUCACUUCUAUGGUAGUCAUUACCAAUCAUAAAAGUAUCAAACCUUUUAUACCAUCACCUAGGAGAUUGCUUUAAACUAUAAAGAGAUUUCUUCAAUAAACAAACAUGGUAUUCCUUUCCUAAAAUGAUGAAUCCUUCCGGUUGAUGCAUAUAAAUUUGUUCUUCCAACUCACCAUGUAGAAAAGUAGUCUUGACAUCAAGUUGCUCUUACUGUAAAUUAAAUAAAGUAACCAUAGCAAGUAACACUCUGAUUGAGUUAUGCUUCACAAUCGGAGAAAACACUUCAUUAAAGUCCACACCCUUUUUUUGUGAGUAGCCCUUUGCCACCAAAUGUCUUUAAACCUAGCAUCCUCCACUCCUAGAAUUCCUUCCUUUCUUUUGAAGACCCAUUUGCAACCAACAAUCUUUUGAUUUUUAGGUUUCUCAACUAGUUGCCAAGUAUGGUUCUUUUGAAGAGAUUCUAUCUUCUCAUUCAUAGCAACAAUCCACUAUGUAGACUCUCUACUAAUGAUGGCUUCGUGAUUAGUUUAAGGUUCCUCAUUUGCAAUGCUCUUUGCCACAUUAAGUGCAUAAACAACCAAAUAUGCAUAAGCAUACCUUUGUGGUGGUAUAAUAUGAAUCCUUAUUCUAUCUUUAGCCAAAUAAUAUUGAUGUUCUUGUGGUGCAUUUUCUUUAUCAUUAAAAUGUUGCACUUCUUCCUUCUUUAACUUUAUUGAAAUCGUUUUUUCUAUGGUUUCUAAAGCUUUAGUCACAAACUUCACCAUUUUUUUCUCACAUCAGGGUCGUUUUCUGUAUGAAAUUGCUCCUUUCUAGGACUCAACAUUGCAGACUCAUUAAAAGUCACAUCCCUAUUAAUAAGAAAUUUGGAAAAAUUUAGAUCUGGGCACCAUUACUUAUACCCUUUCACUCCAUCGACAUAUCCUAAGAAUAUGCACUUUCUUGCCCUUGGUUCCAACUUACCUUCAUUCAUAUGAGCAUAAGCAGGACAACAAGAAAUUAUUAAAUUAACAUAAUUAGGAGAACCACACCAUACCUCUUCAGGAGUCCUACAAUUAAUAGGAAUUGAAGGAGAUCUAUUCACAAGAUAUCAAGUUGAAUUUACUACUUUAGCCCAAAAUUCCUUUGACAACUCUACAUUCGAAAGCAUGCAUCGAGCUUGCUCUAAAAGAGUUUUAUUCAUCCGUUCUAUCAACUUUCUUUCACUCAUAUGCCUAAGCCGCAUAUGCCACAAUCUAGUAAUCUUUAUAAUUGAUUUUGAGGUUGAAACUGCAACUGCACCUGUUACCGUGCUACCCUACUAUGUAUAAAGACCAUUAAUUUUCUUUCCGUUCAUCACAACAAGACCACCCUUUGAAACCCUCAAAACUCCACCUCUAGCUUUAUAUAUGCAUCCAUUGGAGUCAAGUGUCCUUAAAAAAAUCAAAUUUUUGUUCAAUUUUGGAACAUGCCUUACAUUAGUUAAUGUCCUUAUAAUGCCACCAUGCAUCUUAAUUUGAAUUGUGUGUAUCCCAACAACCUUACAAGCUACCUUGUUUCCCAUGAGAACUUUCCCACCAUCUAUGGGUUGGUAGGUACUAAAUCAAUCCCCAUUGGGAGACAUAUGAUAGGAGCACCCUGAAUCAAGAAUCCACUCAUCAUCUAAGUUUGUAAUAGUAACUAAAAGAACAUCUGUAGUAUUUGAAUUUUCUUUUGUAAAUGUUGCAUCACCAGAAUUAUAAUUUCUCUUAUUUUCUUUUCCUUUACGAUCUGGACAAUUUUUCACAUAGUGCCCUUCUUUUUUACACUUGAAACAUUUGUUGUUUCCCCUGGACUUUGAUCUAGAUCGACCUCUUCUACCAUUAUUUUUCUUUCUUGUUCUCCCUCUAGCCACCAAACCUUCACCUGAGUCAUAUUUUCUACUUUUGAACACCAUUUUCUUCAACUCCCUUGAGUUCAAGGCUACUCUAACAUCCUUUAUGAAGAGAGUACCUCUACCAUACAUCAUAAUAUCUACGAAGUGCUCAUAAGAAUUUGGUAGGGAACACAUUAAAAAUAUGGCUUGGUCUUCAUAAUUAACUUUAACAUCAAAGUGGUCUUUCAUGGACAUACUUUCUUUCAUCUGAAGAGUGUGCAAUCGCUUCUUUAAAUACAAACGAUUUUUUAGAGACUUCGUCAUGUGCAGACUUUCUAGCUUCAACCAUAACUUGGCAGUUAUAUCUUCUUCUGCAAUCUCACGAAGCACCUUAUUACCCAAACACAAUAGAAUAGCACUAUGUGCUUUCUCCAUAGGUUCAUCAUUCUUUUCAUCAAACAUCAUUGUUGGUAGAGUCUUUAUACCUUUCAAUGCUUUGGACAACCCCUAUUGAACCAAUAAGGCAGGCAUCUUAAUGCGCCACAAAUUGAAAUCGUUUCUUCCAUCAAACUUCCCAACCUCAAACUUUGUCGCCAUUCUAGGUCUAAUAACCUUAGCUUUGAUACCAAUUUGUUGUGCAAAUCACUAGAAAUAAUAAUAAUAAGGAAAAAAGAACAAGAAAAAAGAAAACAAUACACAACGAUUUACGUGGUUCGACCUUAAGCCUAUAUUCACAGGCAAAGAUGAAGAAAAACUUUUACUAUUGUUAAAAGAGAUUACAAUUCUUGAAGUUCUCAAAUCUCAAAGCCUCAAUUUAUACCCAAAAAGAGACUUACUAUUUUGGUCAAAAAUCUCUUCUUAUAUUUUUUCCUAAUUACAAAGGAAGUUUCUAUAUAGGAAACAAAGUGUAUAAUUGUCAAAGAUACCUUUUCCUAAAUAGAAGAUAUCAUAUUAGGAUAUUUCCUAUAAUAAUAGGAAACCCACUUUCAAGAAUAUCUUUUAUUAGGAAACUAUCAAUAACUUUCAAAAUUAACUCAAAAUAUCAUUUGAGACACUUUCCAACACAUUGAAUAAUUUUUUUUUUCAAAAAAAGAAAGACAAAAGCAAAGAGCACCAAGUGGUAAUUAAAUAAAUAAAAAUAAAAAUAAAAGAAGAUAAAAGAAUAGAUAAAGAGCUAAACUUGUUCUCAGACUAGAUUUAAAAAUAUAAUUUAAGUAGAUUCUUAUUUGAAAAAUUGUAAGAAAGCUUAACGUUUGAAGUACAAUAGUAAAUUUCCAAUUGAUAAUUAGAACAUGUUGUAGAGAUCAAAAUUUUUAGUAGAUUAAAUUGCGACUAAAUUAGUCUUUAAAAUCAUGGUUUUUAAUUCAACAAAAAUUAGGCUUAUAUGGAAUGGGUUAUAUGUAUUAGACACGUGGCAUGUAAUUAAAAGAUGACAUGUAACAAAAUUCAGAAGGUUAUAAAACUAAGCUUUGUAUAAGAGAGAAUUAUAAAUAAAUAUUCCCUUGUUGGCAAAUUCCCUAAAUAAGGAAAUAAAUUUUCCAAUUUAUGUUAAAAGAGAAUUAUAAAUAAAUAGUCUCUUGUUGGCAAAAGAAUAAGAAAAGUUACUAAAAUCAAGAAACCAAAUUCUUUGAAUUAAACAAUUAAAUCUAUAGGAAUCAAAAUUCAAUUUUCUAUUUCCAUCUAUAAAUAAUGGCUACUGCCUUCAAAGAAGAGGAUAGGAAAAAUAAUUUCACAUAGGAAAAUAAAAUCUACGACAAGAAAAAGGUUUCUUAAAAUAUCCUUACAAGUUUGAGAAAUCGAAUAAGUUUUGUAGACACAUUCUUCAUUAUUCAAUGAAUUCAUUCAAGAAGUCAAUAUAAGCCUUCGAUUGAUUUUAAAAUCAGGAAAACACUUUCAUCGUCAUCUUUUGAAUUGUGAUUAAAGUGAAUGAAUCAAAGAAAAAAAAUUCUUUAUAAAGAAUAUUAUCACAAAAAUUGUAUUCUACAAUUAUUUUAUCCUAUAAUUAUUUUAAUACAAAGUUUUGUUUGCAUAUUUAUUUUUUCUAUAGUUUGGCUUAUUUUGCAAGACUUUUCAAAAUCUAUGCAUACAAAUUUCUAGCCAUUAAGAUGGGAUAUCUUUGUCUCUCAUCUUUUUUAGUAAAAAAAUUGAUCACUAUUAAGACGAUCACAUAAAAAAAAGGCUCAAACUAUGUAUGUUAACAAGGACUAGAACAAGAUUGUUAUUGGACCCUUCUAAAGAGGCAUGAAUUGAAGAAAUUGUUGAAAUGAUGAGUAGAUUUUCAAAGGAUUGUGAGGAAGCCUCCAACAUCGACAAGCUUCAAGCGAGGAAAGCAGUUAUGAGUAGGAUGUUGGUGAAGAGCCUGCAAGUUGGGGAUGCUGUGUUUGAGAGAAUAUCCCAUGCUGUUUAUUUGGCUGCAAGAGGAGUAGUGCUUGUAGGGAAUGGCCCUCAAGGAAGAAAAUUAGCAGAAAUGGCACUCCAGUUGGUGGGAACCGUUGAUCUGACUAAUAGAGUGGUGGCAGCUGCUGAAAUAUUGGUGGCAGCAGCCACGGUGUUGGUUAAUGUUCAUGGGCAAUGGUAUACAUAUCUGACUGAUAACAUGUGACUAGUUUGACAUGAAGAAGAAUGAAUUUAAUUACAAGGAGGAAAGAAGAAAAUAAUGCACACACCUGUACAUAGUGGUGGAUGUACAUUUAUGUUUUAAGUAUGAACACAGGAUGGAAGGUUGUUAAUAUGAAAAAAUAUUUCAUGAAUGGGAGAGGGAUGUUGUAAAUAAUAUUUAUAACUGAAUUGAAUGUUUUUUUUUUUCUAUUCUGAUUCAACUACCUUUAUUUUCUGUCCAGACUCCAGAGAAAUAAAGUUUGUAUGUCUGUCUGUCUGUCUAUUAAUAACACUUGGGAUAUAAAUAAUUGCUUUCAUGUUUCAUAUGCUAAGUUUCUCUUUCAUUUUGUGACUUGUGAUAUAUUGGAGAUAAAAGUUGAAGUAUUCGAAGAUCCACUAGAAUCGGAGAUCCACCAGAAUCAGUGUAUGUUGCUGUUAGUGCUAUUGCGCGCAUCAAAUUUGAAUUAUUCAAAGAUCCAACUGAAAGUUCUCUAUAUAAUCAUACACGCUGUAUACACUAAAGUAUGAAUGGAAAUAUAUUUUCACUCUUUCCUCUGUUAAGUUUUACAUGAUAUGACCUAUAACCAAAAGUUCAUAGUUGUUAGAAUGGAUUUGGUUCAGGUAAGGAAGGAUGGAAACAAGGCAAAAGCUUGUGUAAUCUCUGAAAUCAUCAAUAACAAAAGCUUGUUUAACCACUUUUUUGCAUAUUAGGUACUUUAGAAAUAAGAACUUGUGAAGAGGAGUGAAUUUUCUUUUGCAUGAAGAGAGUGGAUAAGCUCAACAUAACACCAUUCUUCAUUCUUUUACAAAAUUAGGAAUUUUAAAUGUGAAUGAAUCAAGUUACAGUAUUCUUCAUGAUGUAUCAGUCUUUCUACUAGCUAAUAUAAACAAUGAGAGCCAAGAUUAAAAUUGGAAUUCCUUCAAUGAACAGCAGUAACUUCCUCACUCCGGUGCUCCCCACCUUCCAUCCCCAACAAUCUUUGUCAUAGUUUUAUGACAAAUUAAAGCUACAAACACCUUAGCUACUGAAAAAUAUAAGCCAAACGAAAACAACCCUGUCACUUUCUGGUUAGCAAUAAGAUAUCAUACAUUUCAACCAAAUUGAACCUACAAAAUGAUUUAAGAACACAAUUUGUAAUUUGCAGAUUGGAAGGAUAGUCUCAAAUCAUAUAACUUAAUUUUUAGGGAAAUUGGUUGUUUAACAAGAUUGACGGUUCAAGUGGUCCACUGGGUAAGAUUGUUCAAUUUCUCAAUACUAGGAUGAUUGGUCGAUAUUCCAACAGGUUGAAUUAUCCAAUUGGGUUCGAUUUUUAAAACCUUAAUUAAUAAGAAACUACAUGCAAUUUCUAGAUGGAUUAUGAUUCUUGUAUCGAAUUUCAAUAGAAUCGUUAAUGCAUAAAGUUUUUUUAUAUAUAUAGAUACUAUGGAUUUGUUUGGCAAAUUUUGAAAAACAAUUCUUAGUUAUUUUGAGGAAUAAAAUUAUAUUUGAAAACCCAAAUAUGAAAAAAAAAAAAGAAAAAAAAGCUUUAUUAAUUUAUUUUUCACAAAAGUAUCGUGUAUUUAUGUAUAAUUCAAAAGUUUUUAAAAUAUUUUACAUUUUUUCAAUUGUUACUCACAACUCAAGCAUGCACAAAAAAUAACUAAAAACAUCUCAAAUUUAUUAUAAAAAAACUUAUUUUUAGAAUACAUUCUCAAAAAAUUAUUUUGUAUAAAAAAUGUUCUAUAAAAAUAAAAAACAAUUUUAAAAAAUCAUUACUAAGCAAGCCUAUGCUACUGUGGAUGCUUUGGACAAAAUGAAAAAGAAAAAUGGUAAUUUCCAAUACCAUUUGAAAUCAUGAAAAGACCAUAACCUUGCAUACAAUAUAUGGGUCAAGGUCUUUAAAAAAAAUAAUUUCUUUUUAUUUGGAUAUCUAACUUGGGAUUCAAGGUUUAAUUAGGAAUUUGGUCAUUCACCACCAUUUUCAUUGGUUGAAAUUCUUUGGUAGAAUUACUAUUAAAUUAUAUAUUUUAGUUGCUUGAAUAUCUUUAUUUAAUAAGGGACCAUGGGGUGUUAUGUAAUCCAAGUAGAAAUCAAUGAUAACUCUUUGAGCAAUUGUUUAGCCUACAUGUUUUCUUUUUUCAUUUUUCAUUAAGACAACAUUUGGAGCAUCAAAUUAUGGUUCCCCUCAUUGGAUUUCAAAAUAUUUUACAUUUCCCCACUCUUUGUAUUUUCAUCCUAAAUCAUGAGCUAUUUUGUUUCAUCUGAUGUCUCCCACUCUUCCUCGUAUCUACACCCUAAACCGUAAACCUUUUUACUUUAUUAGAUGUCUCUUACUCCUUUUCAUAUCUCUAUCCACAAUAUGUAGUCUGUACAAACUGACCUCUAUCAUAUCUCUUCUCAUAACUUUUUUAACUUGAUUAUAACCUAGAAUAUUUAUAGAGAUACUCCUAUUUGCUUUACUAAUCUUAUAAAGAAUUUAAUUACAAUUGCAUAUCAACUGGGGAAACAUUUUAUAUAAUAUUUCUCUUUGACCGUUGGAUUUGUAAUCUGCUUCAACUUGGCAUCAUUGAGCAUAGCAUGGACAAACAACAGUUUUCUCUUCAACUUCUUGAGGAGUGCAUGAUUGAGCUUAUGCCCCGUGAAGAAGUUGAGCACCUCACGAGAAGCUGACCUAUGAAAUAGAAAUUGGAGAGAAGCUGACAUAAAAGCACCUCCAACCAAAGCCCCAUCCAUGUCUGUUUCUCUAGCAAAAGGAAGUGAAAGAUGAAUCGAGGGAAGAAAGUAAGCACACCCAAGAUGAAACCUCCAAACUAGAAAAGAUUGGUUCAAGCGAAAUUUCCAACGGUUGAAUGAAUUAUUGGACAUCGUGGUAGAGCCCAGACUUCUAUAUUGUUGACAAAACAUCAUAGUUCAGUGGUCCAUGAAAAGAAUACGAGGAGAAAGGAAGAAAGCAGAAGGGGAUGUAAACGAAAGUCAUACAUGCAUAUGUAAACUUACAAAUCCUAUAUCCUUUUAUCAAUAAAACAGUUGAAAUAUUUUACCAUUUUUAUAUUAAAUCAUGAUAAGAAUAAAAUGUAAAUUUAUUAAUAUUUUUAUUUUAUUAGUCCAUAAAUUAUAAUAUUCAAUAUAUUCAUUUUAAAUCAUUAAUGUUAGUAAAAAACAAUGUUUGAGGGCCAACCUAUUUUUAAUUGUUCUUUCUAGAAAAGCAUGUUUUUUACACAAAAAUUCCAAAGCCAGACAAAGAGGUGUCUUUGAACUUUCAAACAGUUGGGAUCCACUGCUUUCAAUGUUUGAGAAAAUAAUAACAAAUGAUCUUGUUGACUGCCACUUUCAUAUUAAAGGGGAAAGCAAAUGAAACUGAUUGCCACUUUCAUAUUAAAGGGGAAAGCAAAUGGGGACAUCGUACAUCUAAGGUCUUGUUAACUGGUAAUCUAAAUUGUCUAUCACUCCACGUUUGGGUAUGAAGCUACACAUGAUGGAGGGUAUUAAAAGCAUAAUAUGCAUAUUGAAUUUAAAUCAUAAAAAUUUAAAUUUUUAGAAAAAUUAGUUGUUUAACAAGAUUGAUAGUUCAAGUGAUUCUCUGUCAAUUUAAAUGAUGACAUUGUUCAAUUUUUCAAUGGUAGGAUGAUUAGUUAAUAGUCCAACAUGUUGAAUUGUCCAUUUGGAUUCUACCUUCAAAAUCUUAACUAAUAAGCAAUCACAUGCAAUUUCUAGAUGGAUAGUGAUUCUUGAAUUAAACUACAACAGAAUCAUUAGUGCAUCAAAAAUUUUUAUAUAUAGAUAUUAUGGAUAUAUUUUGUAACAUUUUCUAACAUUUUCAAAAGCUAUUUUGAGGGAUAAAAUUCUAUUUGAAAAUGAAAAUAUGAAAAAUAGUUUUAUUGGUUUAUUUUUCAUAAAAGUACUAUAAUUCGAAAAGUUUUCAAAGUAUUUAACAUCUUUUCGAUUGUUAGUUACAACUCAAGCAUGCAUAAAAAAUAACUAAAAACAUCUCAAAUUUGUUAUAAAAACUUAAUUUUAGAAUAAAUUCUCAAAAAAAAUAUUUUCUAUCAAAAAAGUUUUAUGAAAAUAAAAAGCUAUUUUCAAGAACCAUUACCAAGCAAGCCUAUGUUGCUUGGAUACUUUGGACAAAAUGAAAAAAAAAAUGGUAUUUGUAAUACUAUUUGAAAUCAUAAAAAGACCAUAACCUUGCAUACAAUAUAUGGGUCAAGGCCUUUUCAAAAAAAUAAUUUCUUUUUAUUUGAACAUUCAACACCAUUUUCAUUGAUUGAAAUUCUGUCGUAGACUAGGUUGUUGGUUGUUGACUUGGGAAUUCACAUCAACCCAUAUGGACUUCAGAUUCACCCACCAGAGAUGAAUGAAAAUAAAGGCAAAUAUGAAAGGCAAGUGGUGGCGGUAGGAAGACUCUUAUCAAUAACUUUUGUCAAGUACUGGAGCUUAGGGCGGCUGUAGACAAAUGUCAUCCUGAAUCUUAUCAAUCCCUGUUACUGACUGUUGGGGUUGUAGCUUAAGAAAAUAUCUUCAAUCAAUCAAAUGAUGCAUCCGCAAAUCCAAGUCUUCAGCAAAUUUCAAAUCAUUAUUCACAUCACAAUCUUUAUUGAACCCAUGUGCAAGCAAGGAGGCUGCUCGUGCGGUUAGGUGUUAACAGGGUUAGCCCAAUUUGUUGAAUUUGUAGUUUAACAUCCGCACACGCAUUCUUUCCACAUCAUUUGAUGGCCCUUUAUAGAUUAUCUAUAAAUUCAUAGUACUUAGGAUUUGAGGGCCACGAAGGGAAAAAGGACAGUGGUAAAGAACAAAUCAUUGUUGGAAUUGAUAUGGGUGAAUGGAAAUUAAGAUUUUUUUUUUUUUUUAUUUUAUAGAAGAUAUAUUAUUUUUAAUAGACACAACUUCUUUUUAAAGGAUAUGUCAUGUAUUUAAAAUACACGUUCUCUUCCAAAGGACGUGUUUGGUGUCUUAAGACAUAACCCAUCAAAAUAUGUGUCUAGUAUUCUAAAGAGGUCUCUCUAAAGGUCCCCAUCAAAUUAUAAAUAGGGAUCCUCCAUGACAUUCAUUCAUUCAUCCAUUCUCUUCACUCUUUCUCCUUUCUUAUAAUUCAAGUCCUCCUUAGCUUCGAGUCUGAUCAAUUUUUUUUUCUACCAAAUAUUUCGUAUUUAAGAGAGUACAAAUUGCCAAGUGAUUCACUAUUUUUUAUGAUUUAGAGUGCUACUAUAACAAGAAAGUGAUCGUUGUAUAUGUCCUGAGAGAUGAUUGUCAAUAAACCAUAAACACUUGAAUGAAACAAAUUUGUCUUGAAGGAUAAAAAGUCAAACUCUAGCCUCAAUCAACCUUAUUUGUGAGUUCUAAUUUUUUACUUCAUUUUAUUUGUACAUUUAUUAUACACAUUUAUUAUUCAUAUAUUUUCAAUGAUUUGGAUAACAAGUAGAACUGUAAUUAGCUUGGUCCUUGAGAAAUAUUUGUUGGGCACACUUCCAUCAUUUAGCCUCAACCAAAAUCCUCAACAUGUCAAAACUAUGUUGUACAAAAUUCCUUACGAGUUAAUAUUUGUCGACAUACUUCUGCCAUGAAUAUAUAAGCCGAUGGUAUUAGAGUUCUCCACAUUACUGAGACAAAUGGGCUCCUGCCUUGAAACAGUUGAUUUUUCCAAGAAAAGGAAAAUUUGUCCUAGUCAAGUUCCAAUGACCCAUCCUUAUAUUUGCUUGCUCAUUUAUUCAUUUCUGGAGUUCAUUCUUUUUCUCCUUAAUUGUCUAAGGACUGAUGGAUGCUAAUCUCAAAUAAUGUAAAUGCAGCAUUCUUGUUUGUCGACAAAUCCUCAUGAGUGAGCUAGCACUAGCCAACCCUGUGGAGAUGGAAAACAUUGUAGUUAGGUGUGGCGAAUAAGUCAUAGAGCUCCUGGACCGUUCUGAACAGGCAGGAAUUGAAGAAAUUGUUGAAAUUAUGAGUGGAUUUUCAAGAGAUGGUGAGGAAGCCUCCAACAGCAACAAGCUUCAAGCGAGGAAAGCAGUUAUGAGCAGGAUGUUGGUGAAGAGCCUGCACCCAUGUUUGAGACAGUAUCCCAUCCUGUUUAUUUGGCUGCAAGAGGAGUAAUGCUUGCAGGGAAUGGCCCUCAAGGAAGAAAAUUAGCAGAAAUGGCACUAUGGCCGAUGGGAGCUGUCGAUCAGACUGAUAGAGUGGUGGCAGCUGCUAUAAUAUUGGUGGCAGCAGCCAUGGUAUCAGUUAAUUUUCAUGGGCAAUGGUAUACAUAUCUGACUGAUAACAUGUGAUUGGUUUGACAUGAAGAAGAAUGAAGUUAAUUAUAAGGUGGAAAGAAGAAAAUAAUGAACACACCUGUACAUAGUAGUGGGUGUACAUUUGGAAUAUAAAUUAUUGCAGUGUAUGAAGAUAUUAGGAGUUACUAGGUGCAAAGAUGGUUAGAACUAUUGUGAUUGUUCAUAUAUCAAGAUGGUCUUUGUCUUUGCUGCUGUCUUCCAUGGGGAUAGCCAUGCAGUACUGUUUCAUUGAGAAGAAAGAUCAUUUCCAAAUGUCUACUGAGAAAAUCAAAUCGAAAGCCUACAGUGAAUAUCAAUAAAUGAGUCCAUGGAAGAGAAUUUGAGGCUCAUGAGUAUAUAACAAGAGGACAAGUCACUUAUUAUACCUGGAGAUCUGCUUCGCACCAUGUCUUAUGACCAUAGGCAACAACUUCAAAUUUAAUUUGUGUAUAAUGACAUUUGAGACCAGAACUAACAAUUCAAUCUUAAUAUUGAAGAACAAGAUGUUGAACAUCAACUUCUGUCAACUUCUUGAGGAGUGCAUGAUUGAGCUUGUGCCCCGUGAAGAAGUUGAGCACCUCGCGAGAAGCCGGCCUAUGAAAUAGAAAUUGGAGAGAAGCCGACAUAAAAGCACCUCCAACCAAAGCACCUCCAACCAAAGCACCAUCCAUGUCUGUUUCUCUAGCAAAAGGAAGUGAAAGAUGAAUUGAGGGAAGAAAGUAAGCACACCCAAGAUGAAACCUCCAAACUAGAAAAGAUUGGUUCAGGCGAAGUUUCCAAUGGUUGAAUGAAUUAUUGGACAUCAUGGUAGAGCCCAGACUUCUACAUUGUUGACAAAACAUCAUAGUUCAGUGGUCCAUGAAAAGAAUACAAGGAGAAAGGAAGAAAGCGAAAGGGGGAUGUAAACGAAAGUCAUACAUGCAUACGUAAACUUACAAAUCCUAUAUCCUUUUAUCAAUAAAACAGUUGAAAUAUUUUACCAUUUUUAUAUUAAAUCAUGAUAAGAAUAAAAUGUAAAUUUAUUAAUAUUUUUAUUUUAUUAGUCCGUAAAUUAUAAUAUUUAAUUAUUAAAAAUAUGUUAUAUGUCAAAAAAAGAACAAGAUUCUUUUUUUAAAUUUUACAUGAAUAUUCAAUAUAUUCAUUUUAAAUAAUUAAUGUUAGUAAAAAACAAUGUUUCAGGGCCAAUCUAUUUUUAAUUGUUAUUUCUAGAAAAGCAUGUUUUUUACACAAAAAUUCCAAAGCUAGACAAAGAGGUGUCUUUGAACUUUCAAACAGUUGGGGUCCACUGCUUUCAAUGUUUGAGAAAAUAAUAACAAAAGAUCUUGUUGACUGCCACUUUCAUAUAAGUUAAACCCCACCAACCAGAAAAUCCCCUUGUUCGUCCACUAUAAAGAUCUAUCAUGUACACGCAUCAAGACUAUCAUAAGAUGCUAGUUUCCCAACAGUUUUUUGUAUCAUGAAGCUCUGAACCAUCUCAACCAAAAGGAUGUCCAUCAAUCAAAUAGUUCAUCAUUAUUGGCAAAACACAGCUUUGCGUGAAACAAUGACACCAAACAAUAAAGAGAAAAGAACUACUGAGUUAGACAUCUGUUUUCCAUUGGGGGGGGUGCCCGACUCAAGAAGAUGGAGUUAAAGCGUAAUUGGAGUUGGAAGGGUCAUAACCACCUGAAAGAAAAUAAUCACAAAGACAUGGACAGAUGCACCUAAAAUGUAUGUAUCCAUUAACAAAAGGAAGACUUCAUUUUAAAACCAAAAGGAUUUCGGGUUUCUUAGCUUUGGUAGUAGCAUACCCGCCAUCUCCUUGUUUAAUACAAAUCAUGUUCCUAGCACUAAAACAGCAGCAUCUUCAGGUGCCUUUGCAGAAGCUGUCAGCACCAGUUAAUGAAGGUGACUCAUGAGGGAUGAUCAAAGGGCUGGCUGGGAUAUGUGAAACAGAAGACAUGUUUAUUAUUGUUUGUGAAUAACCAGUCAGAGGCAUGUUUUGGUAUCAUUUGGGGUAUAAGUUAAUCAAUUUCAUUUUUCACCUUUAAUUUUCUAUUUCUUAUUUAUUAUAUGCUGUGACUUGUGAUGAUGAUGACUCCUAUCUUCUUUAAUUGCUUAAUCCUUCAUGACCCAUAAGCAAAAGUACAUAGUUAUUGUGGGACAAGGAAACGAGGAAAAAGCUGGUGUGAUCCCUAUAAUUCAUCACUAACAGAGUUCUGGAAAUUCCAAUUGAAGUAAUAUUUGAUCAUAUCUUGCAUAUUAGGUACUCUAACUAAGAACUUGAUCAGAAUUGUCCAUUGCAUAAAGAGAGUGAAGAAGCUCAACAUAACAUCAUUCUUCAUUCCUUCUAAGCUCAACAUAACAUCAUUCUUCAUUCCUUCUAUUCAAAAUUAGGAAAUUAAAUGAGAAUGAAUGAAGUUACAGUUUUCGUCUUUCUUAUCAAAUAAACAUCUGACUCUGCUGAUACAAACAAUGAGAGCCAAGAUGGCAAUGGGACUUCCUCCAAUGAGAAGAACAGGAACAUUGUCAAUUUUAAGAAAAUGAUCCUGUUUUUGAAUAGGGUACAUGACAGUGAUCUAAGUGAUCAUCCCAACAGCAACACCAUGUAUACCGAAGACAUAAGAAAAACCAAAACAAGAACAAAAUGAAAUCAAAAUUAGGAAAGAAAUAAAUGCAGUAAAAUCAUAACAAAGAUGCUAUAUUCCUGUAUCCUUGCCUUUCAAAUGUGGCUAACUGCUGAUCUCUCCCUUUAUGCAAGCAGAAGGCUAGAAGCACAGUAAACACCAUCUCUGGUAAAAUGCUGACUGCAAAACCAAAACAGAGCAACCUCAGUCAAACAUGACCUAACUUGACCAAUUAAGUACCAGAAAGAUAGAAGCAACCUCAGUCAAACACCAUCUUCUACUUUCCAUCUCCCUGUUCAAUACCAGUUAAGCUCUCAGGCACUAAAAGAGCAGCAUCUUCCUCACUCCACCUUCCAUCCCCAACAACCUUUGAAAUAAUUUUAUUACAAAUUAAAGCAACAGAUGCCUUAGUUAUCAAAAAGUAUAAGCCCAAAGAAAACAUACCUGUUACUUUCUGGUGGGUAUAAGAUAUCACACAUUUCAGCCUCAUACAACCUACAAAGUGAUGUAAGAACAACUUGUAAUUUGCAGAUUACAAAGAGAGUCUCCUCUGUUGUACCCUCAGAAAAUGGACCAAAGCAAUUAAAUUAUUUCUCUAACCAUAAAUUAGCUAAACAAAAAUGCACCCAUGCAUGCUUAUGUAAGAGAAAAUCAGAAAUCAGACUUUCCCAUUUUGAAGGUAACUUAAUUGAGUCAUGGAGAAUAUAAAAGUGACUUUUUUUUUAUAUGAGCUACCUGAGUUCAAAUCUGUCUGCACUCUUGAUAUCUUUGUUCUUGAUUUGUAGAGUGAUAAAAAUAAAAAAAUAAAAAAAUAAUAAUAAUAAUCUUAAACCAAACAAACAAAGCAUAAAAUUUGAAGUCAAAGGGCAGAGUACUCUGCACACUCAAAUCUCCAACAACAGGACAGCAAAAAUUGACACAGGGCAUUACACAUUUCCAAUGGAAUAUUCUCAGAUGUAUGUGUUUGCUGCUGCCUUUCCAGGGGGAGACUCAUCAAAUAUUGUUUCAUUGGAAAGAUCAUAGGCAUAUAUCAAGAACACAAGUCUCUUAUACGUGGAGGGCUACUUGGCACCAUGUCUGUCAGACCAUAGGAAAUGGAAUCUUACAAGUUUGUGUAUACGGAGACUUGUGUUAACCUGAGAAACAUAAAUAUGUUACCACAAUAGAAAUGAUUAGAAAUUCAGAUGCACAAAUUUAGCUACUUUAAUAAAUUGCCACAUCAAUUUUUGGGAAGUGUAGAACAAGUACCUGACUGACGGUAUUUAGCAUACUGAAGUCAUUAUGUGUGUGAAAUCACCACCUUCAUUAGUAAUUUAGUAGAGCACACCACCUAUCACUAUGCGUGGAAUGUGAGCUAUAUAUUCCCAAUCUUGGCCUUUCUCAAAUUGGCACCCAUCCUCCAGCAAAGGACAACUCCCGAUUGUCAUACAAGACAGGGAGUUUGGCAGUCUCUCUUUUGUCAAGCAUUGGAGAUGAUAGCAAUUGGACAUAGACAAUUCUUUGAGAGAGGUGAGGUAUUGAAGACCUACUUCUCUCAAAGAUUCGAGCACAGGGAGGUAGGUCAUCUCUAAAUUUUUAAGAGAGGUAAGAUGUUGAAGCCCCUCUUCUCCAAAGGAUUGGAACUUAGGGCAGUUGAAGAUGGAUAAUGUUGUUAGAGAGGUAAGUUGUUGUAGCCCCUUGCUGUCCAGAGACUUGAUAUUCAGAAGACCACGUAUACAAAGAGAGGUAAGUGUGGAGGGUAGCAGGGACUCGUUGGGAAAUGAUUCCAUGUCUUGGCAUCCAGCACUGAUUGUGAAUUUUGUAAGAGAGGCCAGUCUUUGCAAACCCCAGUCCACCUGAGAUGUGAGUUGGUUGCAGGAUGAAAUUUCAAGUUCACGUAGGUUGGAGGGCAAACCAUCUCUCUGAAACAACAAUUCUGGACAAUCUAUUAACCUCAAUUUCUGCAACGAUGAGUGUGUGCGCGCUAGCAACUUCAGCUUCCUACAUCUGGAGAUCCCAUAGCGUGCAGACUCGAGAGCGGGCAAUUCAAUAUAUAUCAGAUCAGGGCAGUCUUCGAUAGUUAAAUAAUUAAGAGACGUGGGAUCCCCCUCUGAAACGGAGAUGGAGAGGAAUUCAAGCCCUUCAAAAUCAGAGAUGUCGAGUCUGUUCAACCGUGGGAAGAUGCUUAAUGAGAAAGAUAGUGAGAAAGAAUUACAGUUCCCAAAACCACUAAUGAACAAAAAUACAAGGAAUGGAUGGUGGGAUCUCAAUAGUGCACGCAGGACAAACUCCAGUUUGGUACACUUCGAGAUAUCUAGUGACUUCAAUGUAGUGGGUAAACCAACACUGUGCAAGGGUCUGGAGAAACGACAACUUGUGAUGCGCAAAUGUUGGAGAAGACAAGUGCUUCUUUGUAGUAUUCCCUCCUCCAAUACCCACUCUAUCGAAUCACAUUCUCUGAUUGUAAGCAUCUGUAUUCGUGGUGGCAUUUCCUCCCAUUGAGAGAUGUCUGAAAUUUCAAUUUCUGAAGUUUGGAGAUUAGUGAACCCACAAGCUGGCCUUUUCAACCGAAAUUUACCAUGAUUCGACAUUCUCCAUUCACGGAUUUGAGGAGCUCGGAGGGAGCCCACAAGCAACUCAGAACGAAUGAUUACAAGUUUCUUCAAUGAACGAAGCUGUUUUGGUAAUUUCCCAGUGAGUUUGGGACAUUCAUUUAUACAAAGCUUCUGAAGACGAGGGAAUUCUCCACGUCUGCAUCCACAACAUAACCAUUUCUCCCAGUUGUACAUCUUCUCGAAUCUUAGAGUUUGUAGGGACGGGAAGGAGGGCUUAGUUGUGUUGGAGGAAGAAGCAUUCCCAUAAAAUUCACUACCCACCAUUUUAACUCCUUUCAUUUCUAAGAUAGAAAGAUGUUUAAGAGAGGGUAGCUGCCCGAGUGGUGGCAAUGACGAGCAAUUGUUACAAUUCUGAAGCCCCAGGUCAACAAGAUUGAAGAAUGAAGGAUCUCCUACCCAAUCUGGAAAGCUUAAACCACUAAAAGAAUAAAUAUGGAGUCUCUUGAGGUUUGUAUGUGGCUGUAAGCUGUUGAGUAUAUCCCUUCUAUUUUGCACAACACCACCAAGGUCAGUGUUCUCAUAAUCCCACUCAAACUUCAACUCAUCAAGGUACUUUUUAUCCUUCAUAUUAGCUUCUAAUGCAUCCCUAUCACAUACUACAUUCCCCAACUUUGAAAUGACAAGACUUCCCGAAAGCUCCCUCAAUGCUCCCAAUCUUAACCCACCAUUUUGGCCCACAAUAAAUGUAGAAAGUGAUUGUAAAUUCUUUAGCAUACAUGUAUCACUUGGCAUCUCUUUCAACCCACUACCAAUAAUAUCAAGGUAACGCAAAUUAAUCAAUUUUUCCAUCCUUGAGGAUAAUUCAACGAGACAAUGACAUCCCAAUAACAUCAUUGUUUGUAAAUUAUACAAGUUACAAACUGAUUCACGCAACAUUUGAAUCCUUGUCCUAGAGAGAUCCAAGUAGCGCAAGUGUUUCAACUUCUCAAUCGAAUGAGGCAAAUCAGUAAUAAGAUAACCAUUUAAACACAACACUCGUAAACAUUUCAUUUCCGGCAAUAGAUGGUGUAGAACUCUAUUACUUAAAAAGUUAUAUUGAAAGUACUGAUAUUUGCUUAUUGGUAAAAAUGUUCGGAGACACUAAUUUGAGAAAGUGGAUCAAAUCUCUCAUAGACAUCAUAUUCAUUAAUCAAAUAUGAUAAAUGACAAGUUUUCUCCGAGACUUUGUAUAUCUUACCAUCCUCCAAAGAAGUAGAAAAUUCUCCCAAUACCAAUUGUGCCAUGUCAUUAACGAGGUCGUGCAUUACAAAACAUGAGUCAUUGCUAAUUGAAUUUUGAAAAAAUGACUUUGAUAGAAGUUCUUGAAAGUACAAAUUACCUACCUCUUCCAUUCUUUUCUUGCUUUUUGAUUGUUCCAACAAACCUUCUGCCAUCCAUAACAAAACUAGCUUCUCAUUUUCGAAUUCGUAGUCUUUGGGAAAGAUUGAACAAUAAGAAAAACAACGUUUUAGAUGUGAAGGAAGGUAAUAAUAACUCAACCUCAGAGCAGGAAGAACCGCAUCUGUGGGCAAAUCCCAUAAUUCACUGUUUAAUACAUCAUCCCAUUCUCUUGCUUCAACCUUGGAGUGUAGGAGACUCCCCAUUGCUUUUAUAGCCAGCGGUAGACCUUGGCACUUGUGGACAUUCUUUUCUCCGAUUUCUUCUAGUUGUGGAUGCCCACUUGAGUCUCCAUUUUCAAAUGCAAGUUUUUUGAACAGUGACCAACCAUCUGCAGAGGAUAACCCACCUAAACAAUGAGUAUGGACUGCACGCAUGGCAGAUGCAACAUUGGUGCUUCGUGUAGUUACAAUAAUCUUGCUUCCCUUUGCACCGACUAUGAGUGGAGUUCGUAGCAUGUCCCAGUCACAAGAGUCUUCGUUCCAAACAUCAUCCAGGACAAGUAAAAAAUUCUUCAUAUUAAUUCUUUCCUUCAGUUGAACCUGAAGUAGAUUUAGAUUAGUGGUACUGGACGUGGAUGAAUUGACCGCCUCGAGAAUUGUUUUCGUAACUCUGAUAGGAUCAAAUUCUUCGGAAACACAAACCCAUGCCUUGAUUUCGAAGUGUUCCUUCACCCUUUGGUCAUUGUAGAGGAGCUGGGCAAGUGUGGUUUUGCCCGUGCCACCCAUGCCGACUAUGGAGAUCACACCCAUCGCAUCAGUACUCCUUGCAUUAUCGGACAGCAACAGUUGAACCAUCUCCUCCUUAAUUUGAUCCCUGCCAUAGACAAGAGAUUCAUCUACCAAAGAAGUAGAAGGCCACCUUUGUGACAGUUUCUCGCCAUCACCUUCUUUCAACCCAAGGACGUCUCUGUCUCGUGCCAUAUCUUCUAGUCUAUCAAUGAUCUCCUCCACCCUAGACUCUAUGCCCUGACCAUCAAAUGGAGCGAGAACCCAGGUUGACAUGUCCAUGAUGUUACCCACCUGACUUGUGCUGGUUUGGGACUCCGCAGCUUCCACCUUGUAUCGCAAAGCCUCUGUGGCGAUCUCAUCCAAUAUGUCCUCCGCAUCAUACACGGCCUCUUUAAGCAAGACCAGCCACUUCUUCACAUAUGGAUUUGUAAACUGUUUGACCUCAGCAUCGUUGAGCACUGCAUGGACCACCAGCAACUUCCUUUCCAACUUCUUCAGGAGCGCAUCGCUGAGCGUCUGUGUUAUAUAUAUAUAUAUAUAUAUAUAUAUAUAUAUAUAUAUAUAUAUAUAUAUAUAUAUAUGUAUAUAUUGUUGGUUAAAAAAUAAAGUGUAAGAAGAGUUACACUUUUGAAAAUAACUUUUGGAAAAUAAAGUGUAAGAAGGGUUACACUUUUAAAUGUGUGAAUUAAACAUAUGAUUUAAUUUUGAAUGUUACAAAGAUGAAGAGGUUGAGGAAGACAAUGAGUCUUCUCAUCUUUGUAACUUUAUAAACUUAAGAGGUUAAGUGUAAGAGAGUUACAUAUUUGAGAUUAAAUCAUGUUUAAUGUGUGAAUUAAACAUAUGAUUUAAUUUUGAAUGUUACAAAGAUGAAGAGAUUGAGGAAGACAAUGAGUUUUUUCUCAUCCUUGUAACCUUUUUUCAACCCUAAGAGUGCUAUAUAUAUGACUUUUCUUCUUUUUGAAAUCUCAUGUAGAAAAGUGAAAAGGCUUUAUCAAUCCCAAGACUAUUUCCAUUUAGUUCCCAAAAGAUUUCUAGAGGUGGGAGGAAAUAGAGUCUUUGGACAAAGUUCCAAGAACUUGUUUGAGUCUUUCUUGUGUUCUUCUUCUUCUUGUUCUUAUUUUGUAUCUAAGAGAGUUUUAUUGUAUCAAAGUGAGUGUGUGAGAGUGUUUCUUUUCUCCAUUGUAUCCAAAUUUUAUCAACAGUCUGCCCCCGGAUGAAGCUCAUAACCUCGCGAGAAGCCAACCUGUCAAAUAGAACUUGGAGAGAAGCUGAGAGAAACGCACCUCCAACUAAAGCCCCUGCCAUUUCUGUUUCUCUUGCAAAGGAGGUGAAAGAUGAAUCGAGGGAAGAAGAAAGCAAGCAGACCCAAAAUGAAACCUCCAAACCAGAAAAAAAAAUUAUAGAGAAAAUCCAACUUGUUGACGGUAAAGGAACUUUGGAUUCCAAAGUUUUCAUGGUAGACCCCCCCAUAUGCCAGCUUUCUUUGCCGACAACAAACUUCAUUGGUCAAUAUAUAGAAAAUGAAAAUUUGAUUGAAGAUUUUCAUCCUUCGUACAUGAUUUUCCUUCCAUUGUGAUAAAAACGUAGACUUAAUUGAAGCUUCAUGAAAGCCAUCUUCUGACUUUUUCUGGAUUUCAUUAUUGAUUAAAUGAAAAGUUUUGGUUGUAAAUCAAUGUAUUUUGAGAAUUAAAUGAGAUUUAUAUAAAAAAAAAUAUAUGAAAAUUUACUUUUAUUGUGUGCUUAAUAUACAAGUAAGGUGAAAAAAAUUAUCAGGUUUUGAUUUGGAUCAAGGGUUAAAUCUUGGGGGAUCAUGAUUAAAGAAUGAUAUUAUAAAUAUAUAAUUUAUACAUCAAUUAAAAAUAACUCACAAAAAUUAAAAUUAUUUGUAAAUAUUUAAAAUAAUUGAAAUAUUUUAUCAUUUUAUGUUUAAUAUUAUUAUAUUAAAUCGUGAUAAGAAUAAAAUAUAAAUUUAUUAAUAUUUUUAUUUUACUAGUUACUAAAAAUAUUAUAUUUAAUUAUUGAAAGAAUGUAUUAUAUAUAAAAAAAUAGAAUAAGAUUUUGAUAUUUAUUUUUUUCAUUUUAUAUUGUAUAAAUCUUGUUAAUAAUUUAGUGUGAAUAUAUACAUGAAUAUCCAUUAUAUUCAUUUUAAUAUGAAUAUUAAACCCAAAUUGUUUAAGUUUAAUUUUUAGGAAAAUUGGUUGUUUAACAAGAUCGAUGGUUUAAGUGGUUCAUUGGGUAAGAUUGUUCAAUUUCUCAAUAGUAGGAUGAUUGGUCGAUAUUCCAACAGGUCGAAUUAUCCAAUUUGGUUCAAUUUUUAAAACCUUAAUUAAUAAGCAACAACAUGUAAUUUCUAGAUGGAUUAUGAUUCUUAUAUCAAAUUUCAAUAGAAUCGUUAAUGUAUAAAGUUUUUUCAUACAUAGAUACUAUGGAUUUGUUUGGAAAAUUUUGAAAAACAAUUCUUAGUUAUUUUGAGGAAUAAAAUUCUAUUUGAAAACUCAAAUAUAUAUAUAUAUAUAUAUAUAUAUAUAUAAAAGGCUUUAUUAAUUUAUUUUUUAUAAAAGUAUCAUGCAUUUAUGUAUAAUUCAAAAGUUUUUAAAAUAUUUUACAUUUUUUUAAUUAUUACUCACAACUCAAGCAUGCACAAAAAAUAACUAAAAACAUCUCAAAUUUAUUAUAAAAAAGUUAUUUUUAGAAUACAUUCUCAAAAAAUUAUUUUGUAUAAAAAAUGUUCUAUAGAAAAAAAAUAAAAAUUCAAAAAUCAUUACUAGGCAAGCCUAUGCUACUGUGGAUGCUUUGGACAAAAUGAAAAAGAAAAAUAGUAUUUUUCAAUACCAUUUGAAAUCAUGAAAAUACCAUAACCUUGCAUACAAUAUAUGGGUCAAGGCCUUUAAAAAAAAAAAUUUCUUUUUAUUUGGAUAUCUAACUUGGGAUUCAAGGUUUAAUUAGGAAUUUGGUCAUUCAUCACCAUUUUCAGUGGUUGAAAUUCUUAGGUAGACUUGGUUGUUGACUUGGUAGUUCACAUUAAGCCAUAUGGACUUCAGACCCACCCACCAGAAAUGAAUGAAAAUAAAGGCAAAUAAAAAGCUAUUUUCAAGAAUCAUUACCAAACAAGCCUAUGUUGUUGUGGAUGCUUUCGACAAAAUGAAAAAAAAAUGGUAUUUUUAAUACUAUUUGAAAUCAUAAAAAGACCAUAACCUUGCAUACAGUAUAUAUGGGUCAAGGCCUUUUCAAAAAAAUAAUUUCUUUUUAUUUGGUCAUUCGGCACCAUUUUCAUUGAUUGAAAUUCUUUCGUAGACUUGGUUGUUGACUUGGGAAUUCACAUCAACCCAUGUGGACUUCAAAUUCACCUACCACAGAAAUAUGAAAAUAAAGGCAAAUAUGAAAGGCAAGUGGUGGUGAUAGGAAGACUCUUAUCAGUAACUUUUGUCAGGUACUGGAGCUUAGGGCGGCUGUAGACCAAUGUCAUCGUGAAUCUUAUCAAUCCCUAUUAUUGAUUGUUAGGGUUGUAGCUUAAGAAAAUAUCUUCAAUCAAUCAAAUGAUGCAUCCGCAAAUCCAAGUCUCCAGCAAAAUUUAAAUUAUUAUUGAAUUUGUAGUUUGACAUCCACACACAUUCUUUCCACAUCAUUUGAUGGCCCUUUAUGGAUUAUCUAUAAAUUCAGAGUACUUUGGAUUUGAGGGCCAUGAAGGAAAAAAUGACAGUGGUAAAGAAGGAAAAAGUGGAACUGUAAUUAGCUUGGCCCUUGAGAAAUAUUUUUUGGGCACACUGUUCCAUCAUUUGGCCAGAACCAAAAUCCUCAAUGUGUCAAAGUGAUGUUGUACAAAAUUCCUUACAGGUUAAUAAUUGUCGACACAUUUCUGCCAUGAAUACAUAAGCUGGUUGUAUUAGAGCUCUCCACAUUACUGAGACAAAUGGGCUCCUGCCAUGAAACAGUUGAUUUUUUCCAAGGAAAUGAAAAUUUUGUCCUAGUUGAUUUCCAAUGACCCAUCCUUAUAUCUGCUUGCUCAUUUUUCCAUUUUUGGAGUUCAUUCUUUUGCUCCUUAAUUGUCUAAGCUCUGAUGGAUGCUAAUCUUAAACUGUGUAGCACUAGCCAACCCUGUGGAAAUGGAAAACAUGGUAGUUAGGUGUGGCCAAGAAGUCUCAGAGCUCUUCGAUCGUUCUGAAAGAGGCAGGAAUUGAAGAAAUUGUUGAAAUCAUGAGUGGAUUUUGAAGAGAUGGUAAGGAAGCCUCCAACAUCAGCAAACUUCAAGUGAGGAUAGCAGUUAUGAGUAGGAUGUUGGUGAAGAGCCUGCAAGCUGGGGAUGCCAUGUUUGAGAGAGUAUCCCAUGCUGUUUAUUUGGCUGCGAGAGUAGUAGUGCUUGCAGGGAAUGGCCCUCAAGGAAGAAAAUUAGCAGAAAUGGCACUCCGGCGGGUGGGAGGCUUUGAUCUGACUGAUAGAGUGGUGGCAACAGCCAUGUGUAGGUUAAUGUUCAUGGGCAAUGGU